rnacentral:lncRNA from 1 species
GUUGAGUAAGUUAUUGUUGAAUAAUAUCAUCUAACGGGGUAAAAAUAGUCAAAGAAUUAAAUCUAACGAUAAAAAAUUCGAUAGUAACGAGCGCUUGGUGCUAUCGAUAGUAUCACAGCCGGCAUCAUAUUAUAUAUGUCACUGCUCGGUGUUUAUUUGAUAUAGUUCCUAAAAUAAUUUUUCUAUUAAUGAAUAACAAUAAAAAUUAGCUAUUUUCAUGGCGAGAAUUUUAAAAUUUGACAUCUAUUUUUCCUAAGGAAAAAAAUUACUAUAAAUAAAUUUUUGCUACUUUUUUUAUAAAAAAUAUUAUUCAUAAAGUACUACAGAAGCUCUAGUCGAGCCAAACAUGUCCUUAUAUGCCUUUCUUUUUAUUACUAAUUUGCUCUACUUAUGUCAAUUAAUUGGUCCACUUAAUCGAAUUGAUGUGAGUAAUACUCCCUUGUAGCAAAAUGUGUGUUGUGUUAUAUAUAUAUUAUAUAUAUUAUAUAUAUAUAAUAUAUAUAUAUAUAUAGUCGAAUUCAUGUGCUUUUAAGUUGACAUAUUUUUUGCGUCAAGAAACGUGCAGAGUUAGUGCUGGAUGUAGAUGUAAGUUUUUUUUUUUUUUUUUUUUUUUUUUUUCCUCUCAGAUUAACAUUGACAAAGGCCAAUUUGGCCCAAAUUCAUAAAAAUCAUGUAACUUUUAAUUCAAGUAAUAAAACCACGGGCCGGACCAGGCCGGGCCAAACAAAUGGAAAGUUUUUUUAAAAAAAAUAUUAUAGACGAUUAAAAAACAAAAAAGAAAGUAUGAGAUAGGAUGAAUGACGAUAACACCGUACCAUGCGAUACUAAAAUUAAAAUAUACAAAAAAAUUAGGUACUAAAAUGCAAAGUUCUAAGGUAUAGAGAAAUCACAAGAAACAACAUGCAAAAACUUCUUAUCUUUUACUACACAAGGUUUAGUAAAGCAGCAACAUGCAUUUAUGAACUCUAGGAAGAGUUGCAUACUACCAUAAUAUCCCCAAUAAUCCUCCAUGCAAGAAGUUUCUAGAAACAUCACAACAUACUCUACAUAGCAAAAGGGAACAACACACACACACACACACACACACACAUCAUGGAAGAGGAAUUGCAUCACCCCGAAUCAUCCGCCGGCUUCGCUCGGUACCUCCGGGCCGCUUUCUUCGAGCUACCAAGGCCGACUUCUCCGGCCAAAGCUUCGGCUCGGUCUUCCUCCAUUUCACACACGUCGGCCUCGCGCGCGUCCUCCGCGGCGAUGAACAUAGAGCCCGACGAUUUUGAGCCUAUUGCUUUGGCAUGAGUGGCGGCCUCAUCGAUACACAUGGCGUCGUCGCCGCCGCCGCCGCCGCCGCCGCCAGCUUUCUUUCGAGGAAUAAAGGUGAUGGAUUUCGUUAGUUCUGCGGUUGGGAUGUCAGGCUGCGUCUCGGUGUUAUUAUUAGGGUUUAAUCUGUCCAUCAGAUUGCGGAAGUCUUCAAAUGCUUGCUUGUUCAUUUUGUCGUCGUUGCUGUCGGACGAGUCCAGCGUAUACUUCGUGUACUUUGACGGAUUCAGAAUAUAAUCAGGAACCCUAGAAGGUUCCAAGGACGCGGAGGGAUUCUCUUCUUUCGCCGCGUUGUUACAAUGCUCGGUCCUUUCGAGAAGCUCGGAAUCAAAUCGAACGCGCUUCUUCGGCUUCUCGUCGGACCGAUUCUCCUUUCUUUUCAGUAUGGGCUUCAAGUUGGCUUCGUCCUCGGGUAUGAUCUUAGGCCGUGAACUGCUGUGGACCGAAAGACUAGGGUCUUUCUCGGCCGACUUGUCGUCUUCCAUGAGCCUCACAUUUGCCGCAUCGUGAUCCGCGCGGGGAUCUCUGUAGAAAAGGCCGGAGUCAUCAAAGGGGUCGUCGAACAACUCGGGGACGACGGUGUGGAUACUGAUGUGGCGGCCGCGGUCUUUCACUUCCCUCAUGUACAGCCGGUUGCGUGCGCUCUCCGCGCCGAACGCCGCUCGGUCGAACUCGUCCUCCUCCUCCUGAAAUGAUUUUCAGAUUGGAGAUCAUGUUAUACACUCGAUAGGCGCAUCGUUCAUCACACUUUGCACAUUGUUACUCAAGUUUUGCAUUAUGAACCUCCAACUUAGGCGGCCGACAUCAUCAUUAACGUCGAUUACCGGAUCAAACUACGAGUAUAUAUUGAGUUAUAUGAAAGGCUUUAUAACACUCCAAUGUCGUUUACUGUCGAAUUUGGCGUACUCAGAAGAAUAAAGAAUCAAAUAGAGAACACCGAUUCACGCAUGUUCCAUCUAAAACAUGCCGAACGUUUUCACUCACUAAAUCCAUGUCGCCUCAGGAAACGGAAACAUGACGGCACUAGUCUUAACAAUAUAAAGAACUCAGAACUGCACUUUUCAUUUGGCUAAGGAAGUCAAAAAGCAGUUCCAAGCUGCGCCGUCCAAUCAUUCAUAAUAAGCCCGUUAAACCAAAUCCCACCCUAAUUCCUUAAAAGAUACGGCUUUACGCUACCAUACUAGUCGUAACCAAUCAAUGGAAGGAGAAAAUGGCCGCGUCGCCACGCGUCGUUUCCUCUUCUUUUCUUUUGUUCUCGCUCGCUCAAUUGAGGCCAAUGCCCUUCGUCGAGGUAUUAUUUAUAUGCAUCAAAGUUAUGCUAUCGUUUUCGACAGACCUUAAAUAGAGCACAAUCCGAACUAACCUCUCAUUGAAGCAACUUUAGACACCACACUACAACAGAUACAAAAACUUCACAAAUUUUACUAAUUUGAUCUAAGAAUGAUGCAAACAACAACACCUACAAUAACUUGUAAAGCUCUGUAACACUCGAAACAUGAUCUUGGAUCUCGAGAAAAAUCAACAAACAUUUCAUAUAAACAGUUAGUUUCACCAACCAAACCCUAAUUUCUAGGCCGAAACCACUGUAAAUGUCUCAUCAUGGGCUUCAAAAUUUUACAAAAUUUAAACUUUUACUAACGAAACAGCAAAAUUAAUUGAACUUAAAAGUGAAAAUGGUAAACAGUUAGUUUCAGCAACCAAACCCUAAUUUUUACUCCGAAAAAAUUUAACUUUUGCACAAAUAACUAACCAAAUAGCAAAAAGAAUUAAAAGUACAAGCAAAAAAGAGGGAUUGGAAGGGACGAGGAUACCUCGUUAUCGAGGGUGGGAUCGAGCCCCACAGAGGAUCGAAUCUCCCUCUCCUCUCUAUCGCCAUCGCCCUCGCCCUCCCCAUCCCCAUCUCCUCCUCCUCCACCUCCUUCGACAUCCUCGUCCGCAUCGUUUACGUCGUCGAGAUCGGCUUCGAGGUCCGCGCCGAGACCCCGAGAGCGCCGUCGCUGGUUCCUCGCCCUCCUCGCGAAGCACCCCGCGGGGUCGUCGAACGCGGCGGAGCAGGGGGCAUCGCCGCGGUCGGCGGCGCCGCCUCCGGCGUCGUCGCCGCCGCCGCCGCCGCCGCCGCGGUUCCACUCGCGGCGCUCGACCUCGCCGUCGGCGACGGACCAGGAGGAGGCCGGGAAGGAGUUCCCGGGCACGGUUUCGAAGAGGCGGGAGCCGAAGAGGCGCUUCACGCGCACCUCGAAGCUCUCCUCCAUGGCGCUCUCUCUCUCUCUCUCUCUCUCUCUCUCUCUUCCUCUCCCUCUCUCUCGAUCGAUCAAUCGCGAUAGGCUUUGCUUUUAAAAAAAACCCUAAACACACCACCGCCUCUUCGCUCCGACGUUUUUAUUUUAUUUUCUUUUAUUAUUUAUUAUUUUCCUCUAAAUCGGUAAACUUGAACGAAGGCCCCUCAACUAUAGCCUAUUUUGAAUUACACCCCCCAACUCUUUUUUUUGUGUUGAUUCAGGCCCCUCAAUCUUUAAUCAUAAAGUAAUUUUAUCCAAAUAAAUUAGGAUUGGACAAAGUAAUUUUAUCCAAAUAAAUUAGGAUUGGAUAAAGUAAUUUUAUCCAAAUAAAUUAGGAUUGGACAAUUGGAGAUGGCUGCAUACUUUAACCAUCAUUUGCGAACGGUUUAAAUUUUUCCGAAAUUGCACGUAAUGUGCGCGCUGUAUAAACUGUACAAAAAAAAUAAAAUUUAUAGUGUUUCUUUUUCAGUCCCUACAUCCGCAAACUCCUUUAAAAUACUUUAUUAUAUAUUAUUAUGUAAUCCGCGGCGGUAACACUAGUAAAACUCCCUUUUUUUUCUUUUUCUUUUUUUUUUUUUUUUUUUUUAUGUGUGUGUUUUUGUAACUUGUUGGUUUUUAAUUAUCCAGUUGAGAGGUACUUACACGAAAAAAGAUUGAAUCACAAAGGAAGUAUAUGUAGAAGAUUGAAUUUUCCAACAUUAAUUUGCUACACAGUUUAGAUUCAAAUCAUAUUUAUGUAUCUUAUUCAAACAACAAAUUUAACAAUUGCCGUAUAAAUAAUAAUAAUAAUCUCUUCAUUAUUUAAAGUAAACAGGUAGAGAUAUCAAAUUGGGUUAUGAACAAUCUACAUCUUUGUCUGAUUCUUCAGAAAACAAAACAAAAACAAAAACAAAAACAUUUUGAUUCCUUAUUUAUGUGGAAUUUUAUGGUUUCCAUAUGAAUGGUGGUGGGGGACUAUUUGAAUAGAAUGGUCUCAUAGAGGAGAAAAUGGUGUUUCUAUCGAUUCCGCCGUCGCUGCCGCUGCUGCCGCCGCUACUUGUCAGCGAAAUCAGUGCCGCAACAAGCCCUGCAUUUCCCGCCAAAGUCGGCUCGGUGUAGUUCUCGCUGUUUCUGAUGUCAAAGAACUGGUCAGAGCGGUCGGGCCCCGCCACCAUCGCCCCCGUGAUAGUGUUGGGGUUCAUUGAUUUUCUGUCGCGCCACUUCCACCCGCCGGUACACGAAUACGAAUUGCCGUCGUUCGGGAUCGACGCGCCACGGUGGUGGACGUGCCUCGGGUAGUUGUGUCCGUGACCGACAACGUAACUCAUGUUCAUGGGAUUGGAUCCUAAGAUGUAGUUCACCUGCAAUCGUAAAUCGAAGAUCAGCAUCGUCGAUUACAAUCGAUAUAAAAAUCGUUUAAUCCGCGUGAAAUGGAGAUCUAACAAUGAAUUUUGAGACUUUAACAAUCUUUUGUAAGAGAUUUAGUGAUUAGUGAAUGAUCAAACCACAAUUUAAUUACGCUAUCAAAGUAGAGAAAAGGUUUAAGCAGGAACCUGAGAUACUGCGAAUUUGCGGAGGGUGUCGGAGUCGAAGUACUCAGGGCCGCAGUACCAUCCGGGUAUGUUACUUGCAUUCAUGUAAUCUGCAUAUAGGGAUGCUAAAAAGGCCGCUUUUGCCGCAUAUUGCAAAGGACGGGGGCCGCCAUGGUUCAGUUGAAUCAGUCCCCCUACCACCCCAAAAAAAAAGAAGAAAAUAAGUGCUUACUCGAAUAGAAAGAAAAAACAACAGAAAUUUACAUAGAUUAUACUUAAUACGCCGAAUUAAACAUUUAUAUAAUAUUCCACAAUCGAGGGCUUGUUUUGCUACUUUGGAGCUUAAAUACAUAAGUGUUGUUUUAGUUUUUUUUCAUUAAAAGAACCCUCGAUAACUUUUCAAUGUGGUAGAAGCAAAAGCUUCAAAUUAGAGUUUCUACUUUUGGGCCAAAAAGCUUAUUUUAGCUUCUCGCUAUAGCAGAAGCUCCAUAGAUAACCAAUUCCUUGUUGUCGGCACAAUCAUAGACUUACUAAAAGGAAGGGGAAAAAAAGAAGGAUCAUCCACAUCCACCUCUAGUCCAAUUGAACACAUUAAAUUGCCGAAGGUACGAGCACAUGUUCCGAUUGGUCGCAUUGUGGUAAAUUCUAAGCAUUUCCUCAUAGGGGUACCCUGGAUUCAAGAAGAUCCUAAGCCUCGCUAAAAGUAGCUCAGCACCAGGAAGCUUAUUGUCCCAACUAAACACACUCGAAUCCGAUGAUAAGUUUGAAAAUCCCUCAGCUUUCUCCAGAAGCUUAUUCUCUGUCGCAAGUGAGAGAUAGCUAUAGUUUCCAGUCGCGUAGAAUAACCAAGCGGCGCCCCAAAUGAACUCAUCCCAAUAACCCGUGGAGUUGUAGAACGGCUCGAUCAACUCGUUCCGGAAAGAAUAAGGCGUCUGCUCUUUGGACUUUGUAGCGAAUUGAUAAGCCGUCUCCGCUGCUUCGACGAGCUUCUUCGAAUAGGAGGUGUCGUCGCGAAAUACUAUAGAAGCAGAAGCUAAAGCUGAUGCUACCUCACUACUUAAGUCAGGAGCCGAGGGGGCAGACAGUAUUGGCUGAGGGUAAUUGAUGUUUUCUGGCCUUUGCCAGCAGUAUCCAUCAUCUGGGGUGGUGGAAUCUUUUUUUGCUACUCCUACCUGAUAUUGCAUUAGAUGCGAAAAAUGUUAAUCGAUAAGUGUAUGAGAAUAAUAUUUUCGAGACCAACAAUGUACAGCAAUUAAGCUCGCCAAGUACUACCAUUCAUAAGUAGCUAGAAAACACAUGUCACAAUAAUAUCGACAACCACGGAAGCAUACAAGGAGCGUAAAGGACGAUAGGAUUAUUAGAUACAAAUACCGUGGCUUGGAAAACACUUAGCCUCUCAAGUAGCAAAAUCUUGUAACCUAAUUUGUUUUCUGCUAUUUUACAUUGUAAAUCUACACGAAAGGGAAUGCUAAUCAAACAGAUUCAAAAUGGCAAAUUUUGAUCAAUUGUCGAAUUUCAUGCUUUCCUUCGAUGGGUAGACGAAAAACUAAGAAAAAUAGUGCUUUUGCUCAAAUAGAGAAACAUAUAAAAGAUUAUUACAACAGGUGCAAAAUCAUGCUACACUAGAGAGCAACUAUGAAUCAGGAAAAGAUGUUAGUUUACCUGGAUAUAUAUUUUGUCGAUUGUCGAGGCCGAAGAAUUGAAGGUCCGGAGCAAGUAAUCGGUGCCCCACUUAAUGAUAUCUCUAAUGUGGUCGUGUUCUCCGAUUGCGUCAUAUUUAUGACCAUACUCUAUCACCGACCAGCUUAAAAGUGUCAUCGAAAACGCCAUCGGAAAAUGAAACUUGAUGUUUUUGCCGCUAUCAUAAUAUCCUCCAACUAGGCCAGCCUUAACAUCUGGUAACUGCUGAAUAUUGUUCACACCGCAAUCUCCGCGCCAUGGAAUACCGUUGGAUCUGGGUAAAUGACCAGCUGAUUAAGAGAAAAAAAUCAUAUGCGCAUGAGUAGAGCAACAUAAGAGAUGCGUGAUCGUAGGUGGGCUUAGAUGGAACUUCUGAAGAAGUGCUAUUUGAGUAGAGCUGCUUGAAGAAGCAUCGAUGUGCUUUCGAUUGAUAUAUCCUCGACAUAAUUUAACAAGGAAAUGAUAGGCUUACACUUUUGCGCAUUGAAGAACUUGAGCGCCUUAUGCAGGGCUUCGGUGUACUCAUCGGGGAGCAAAACAAGCUCUUUGUGCUUCGGUAUCAUCUUCACUACGAAAAUCGGAAUUGCCGUAACAACACAUGCGAUUAAAGAAGAAAGCAACACCCAGUUGAACAACUUCCUUUUGCAAACAAUGCAACCCAAAUCGAUGUAGUUGUUCGUCUUCUUGGAUUCGCCGCAAGGCUCGAGAAGCCAACCCUGCUGGGCAUCAUCCAGCUGCUGGCGCGGCAGCGCUGCACGGUCCAAGUCCAAGUCCGGGCUGUUCUCGUCCUCCGCCUCCACUUGAAUCUCAAAUGAGCCUCCCCAGUGGUUGGCUGCGUACAUCUUUCGAUCCAAAUGUGCGUAAAAGAGCAAAGUUGCUGGGGUACCUACACCACAUUAAUUGGAUUACGACAUUUGAGAUAUGACUCUUUUUUUGUGUGUAUAAGUUACAGGGAAUUGCUUAUCUGAUGUAUUAAUCCUGAAAUAAAGUUGAGAAAAUGAACCACACGAAGGAAUCCGAUUGAGAAAAUAAUGUGAAUUAUUCGAAAUGUUUUCGAAUUCUUAUUAAUUUUGUCGAGCGUGUAGUAGAAGAUGACUGAGAGUAAAGAAGAAAACCAAAUAGCUAUAUUUUCAAUAAAAAUACAGCAUAUAUAAAUGGCAUCAUUUGGUUUAUAAACAAACCGAUUGUUACAGUAAUAUAAACAAUUCAAAACUAAUAAAAACUUUCAUUUUACAUGUUUGAAUGGUGAUUAAUGCACAAAAAAAAAACCCAAAUAGUAUAUCUUUGAUUCAAACACAUAUACAAGAGAAACCAAUUGAGUUGAUGAUUUUAACGAUUCAAAGAUGUCAGGAAACAAACAAGAAGAACACCAAGUAAUGUAUCUUCGAUCCAAUUGCACCAUUAAAAGGCAUAGGUUAGAUUACGAGAUCAACGAAAUGGUCAAAACAAAAUAAACCCAAACGAAAAAAUUCAGAAACUCAUCAGCAUCUAAAUUGUCAUUGAGGCAUAAAAAAAGAACAUCAGUAAGCGAAUCUUUGAUCCAAUUUCACCUUCAUAAAUGGCAUAAGUUGGAUUACGAGAUCAAUAAAAUGAACAAAACUUAAAACAAAGAAAACCCAGAAGCGGUAACAACAUGAAUGAGUUGAAGAACUCAUCAAAAUUCUCCUUUUUUAUGCAUGUAAAUUCUGAUUGGAGCAAAAAGAAGAACCCCAAAACUAAAUUCUAUAUCUUUGAUCCGAACAAAAAUAGUACAUAAAUGGCAUCAGUUGAACCGCGAAAAUCAAUGAAAUGAUUAUAAUUAAGAAAACCCAGAUGAGAUAACUACGUAAACAAGUUAAAAAACUCCUCAAAAUCUGUUUUUUUCUUAAAUAUAUAUAUAUAUAAAUUGUGACAGAUACAUAAGGAAGAACAACAAAUAGCAUACAUCUUUGGUCCAAAAAAUGGCAUAAUUUGUACUAUGAGAUCAGUGAAAUGAUUAAAAAACUUAAACGAAAAAAAAAACCCAGAUGAGAAAACAAUACAAACAAGUUAAAAAGACUCAUCAAAAUCUGUUUUUUUUUUUUUUCUAGUAUCUAAAUUGUGACUGGGACAUAAGGAAGAACACCAAAUAGCAUACAUCUUUGAUCCAAAACGCAAUCAUAAAUCGCAUAAUUUGCACUACGAGAUCAGUGAAAUGAUUAAAACUUAACACAAAGAAAACCCAGAUGGAAAAAACAAUACAAACAAGUAAAAAAGGCCCAUCAAAAUCCGAUUUUUUAAUUAGUAUCUAAAAUUGUGACUGAGACAUAAGGAAGAACACCAAACAGCAUACAUGUUUGAUCCAAACACACAAUCCUACAUGGAAUAAUUUUGUAUUAUUAUUACGAGAAACCCCAGAUGAGAAAACAACACCCAAAAAAAAAUGUAAAAAAAAAAAAAAAGACUCAUCAAAAUUCGAUUUUUUUAGCAUCUAAAUGGUGAUUGAGGCAUAACAACGAACACCCAAAGGGCGCUUUUUGCGAACGUGCACGUUACCAAAACGUAAAUGUAGGUGCUCUUUGGUCACGAACGAGGCCCGAGUACAUGAAGCACCAUUCCUGUGCUCUUCUCUUUUUUUUAGAGAGAAAGAGAGAGAGAGAGAGAGAGAGAGAGAGGAGUGGUUAAAAAGAGCAAAAUCGGUCAGGUGUAAUAAUAAUAAAGUUAAUUUCAUACCAUUCCUGUAAAUAUAAUAAAUUAUAAAUAUAUUUUUAUAAAAUUUACAGUUUAAAUAUUAUUUUUAAAAAAAAUUUAAUAUUUUUAAAUAUAUUUCUUUAAAUUGUUACUGUGUUUAUUUUAUAAGUAAAAUAAUUUUUUUGACAUUAUAAAUAUGUCUGUUCAAAAGUUCCAACUAUUAAUUAAAGAAGGGUAAAAAAAAUUAAUUCAUCUUAUUAACUAACUAGAAUUAAAUUUUUUAUCUAUGGUUAACUAAUUUUUUCUAACAGAUCCUAAUGGCAGGGACAUAUUUGAAAAUAUAAAAACUUUUAUAGAAACUAGUUGAAUGUACGUACAAAUGUACGUAAUAAUUAUUAUAAUUUAUUUCAAAUUAAUAUAAAUUUGUACAUUAUAUAUAUCCAAAAUUUUACAAUAAAAAUUAUAUUUAUAAAUUAAUAUAUUAUAUUUUAUUAGAAAAUAUUUAUAAUAUCCUACCGUAUUCUUUUUUUUAUAUACAUCAAACAUUUUUAUAUAUUUUUUUGAUUUUUAAUGAAUCAAAUUUAAAUAUGUGUUUUAAACUAAAAGCAUCAAAAUAUAAUUCACAUUCAUUUUAAAAUUUAAAAUUUAAUUUUGAUCUACUGUAAUAAAAAAGUUAAUUAUUAAUUCAAAUUUGAUAUCAAAUAUUAAAUUAAUUCAUAAUUUAAACUCAAAUUUUAAUUUUAAUGUAAAAUAGAUAAAUAUGAAUGCUAUUUUUUAACAAAUUGACCAAAACCGUUUGUUUUUAUUUGAGAUAUUUUUUAACAAAUUCGAUUAUAAUCGUUUGUAGGAUUGAAUUUAUAGAUGGAUAGAAAUGCUAUUUUUUAUUAGAUUGAUCAUAGCUAUUCUUAUUUAAGAUAUUUUUUUAACAAAUUAAUCAUAACCAUUUGUAGGGAAUAGAUUUUUAUAUAUAGUAGAGAUUAAAUAGAUUAAUCAUAAUCGUUCGUUUUUAUUAGGAAUAAUUUUAACAAAUUAAUCAGAACCAUUUGUAGGGAAUAUUAUUUUAUUCAUUUUUAGAUUCCGUCUGUCAUUGUCGGAAUUUCUAUACGCUUUUAUAUAUAGUAUAGAUAUAGAUAUAAAUAAUAUAUAAAAGUUGAAUUUUAUAAAAAUAUAUUUAUAUUUAUAGAAAUCUGUAUGAAAUUAAACUAUAAUAAUAAUACUAAUAUAAUAAUAAAAAGGGAAAUUGUUUUUUUUUUUCUUGAGAGAGAGAUAGGUAGUACGCUACCCACUUCGUUUAUUUCAUUUAGAAAUAAAUUUAGCUAAAAAUGUGAAUCAAUAGAAUUCGAAUUUGGGUCUCGGAUACCACCCAUCAGGUCUUUUGUCACUUGCUUUACAGACGGUCGGUUAAGAAGAAAAAUUGCUAAAAGAGGAUUCUCUUUCGUUACAGCAGGACCCGGUAGUGGUUUUUUUUUUUUUUAUUUUUUGGUAAUUUGAGAUGUAUUUAUUUUACCGGGGGUGGAGCAGGGUGUAAGCUUUUGAUCAAAGACCCUCUUUUCUAUUACUUGGUACAUCAUAAUAUAAAUUCGGCCCUUGCGCAUGUUUGGUUUCUCAAAAAAAAUUUGAAAAAAAAAUUUGAGAAAAAAUAUUCUAUAAAAAACUCUUUUCUAAUUUUCUGUUCGGUUGAUUUCAAAAAAGGUCAAUUUGUAUAAAAAAUUCACAAGUUUUGAGCUUUGUAAAACUAGACGGUUUUUUUUCAAUUUUAUAGAUUCGGUCCGAAUUUUCAACAAACAGACCAAAAUAUCCUUAAUUUUUUUUUUUCUUUUUUUUCUCUCGUUCUUUUUUUUUUUUUUCUAUCCGAAGAGGCAGCAGAGGUGGAGGCGGGCCCGCCUUUGCCCUAUGCACUCUCGCCCUCGAUCGCGCUCGCACCCCCCGCCUUCCUCGCCUCCGGCCUUGCCGAGACUGCAUUGCUACCUUCUUUUUUUCUCUCCGACCGUCCUCCACCGCCUCCGCGGCCCUCUGCGAUGGUAACGAGAACGGCAACGCCUUCGCCCUCUAUCUCUACUGCAGCAGAUUUUGCAUCCACCAAAUUCACUUCUAGGAACCCGUCGUCCACACAAUCGUGACGACAACAAAAAGGAAGCAUUUCUCGUCGCCGACAAGCUCGCCGACGAGGGAGGGGGCAUGCGGCCCACCUACCUAUCCUAGAUGACAGCGGCGAGCAUGGUCUCAGCAAUGUUAGAGGUGAGGAGGGCGAGAAGUGCACGGGAGUAUCUUUGGAUUAGCACUUUUGUUUGUUUAAAAAAAAAGGCUUUUUUUGCAAAUGGCUCUCUAAAAAAAUUUUAUUUUAAAACUAGCCCCAAAAAAUUUAUAAUUACAAAUAUGUCCUUACUCCUGUCACGCAGCCGCCACGCAAGCGCACGUAGGCGGGUUGGGAGGUAGUUGGCCAAGUUGAAUACGAUGAAUUAUUUACCGUGUUUGAACACGGUGAAUCAUUCACCGUGUUUCAUAUUUAUAUUCCUUUUCUUCUCUUUUAGGGAUGUACGGGUCGGGUUCGGGUUCGGGUUUCGGGUUUUUAGUCGGGUAUGGAUAUGGGUAUGAAUUUUUAAAACCCACCGGGUUUGGAUUCGGGUUCGAGUUUUAAUUUGAUUUUCGGAUUCGGGUUCGGAUUUUAGGGAUGUCAAAGAGUCGGGUCAGGGUUCGGGUUUCAAGUUUUUGGUCGGGUAUGGAUAUGGGUAUGGAUUUUUAAAAUUCGCCGGGUUCGGAUUUGGGUUCGAGUUCGAGUUUUAAUUUUAUUUUCGGAUUCGGGUUCGGAUUUUUGAAAACUCAAUCCAAAUCCGACCCGUUGUUAUCCCUAAAAGAGAAAAAAAAUGAAUAUAAAUAUGAAACAUGGUGAAUAAUUCACUGUGUUUUAAUACGGUGAAUGAUUCACCGUGUUCAACUUGGCAAGCGACCUCCCAGCCUGCCCACGUGGCUCUUGUGUGGUAGGAAUUGGGCCAUUUUUACAAUUAUAAAUUUAUUGGGACUAGUUUUAAAAUAAAAUUUUUUCAGGGAGUCAUUUGCAUAAAAAAGGCCCAAAAAAAAACUAAAGGUCAAAAACUAAAGAAUAAUAAAAAAAAUAAAGAAGAAGGAAGAAAAAGAUAAAAAUUAUACUGUUAAGAUAACAUUGCACUGUUUUAAAAGAAUAUUGCACUAUUAUGGACGUAAGUUGCACUAUUUGAGAUAUAAACUGCACACUUUAAACGAAAAUUUUACUAUUUAAGAGAUAUUUAUAUAUUUUUUUUCUUAUUGCACUCUUUGAAAUGAAAACUGCGUCUUUUAAGUUCAAUCUUUUAUAUCCAUACAAAUUAAGUUCAAUCUUUUAUAUUUAUUCCUACAAAAAUUUUAACGUUUUUAAAUAUACCAUACUAUUAAGAUUCAUUAAACAAAUAUUAUUAAUCAUAGCUAAAAUACUUAACUUGAUUAGUGCAUGAGCUAAAUUGACCUUUUUACCUCUUUUAUAUUAUUUGUGAUGGUAGAAAAAAAGAAGAUGACCGUUGAAAAUUUUUGAAAGGACAAUUUGCAUAAUUUUAACCGUUGGAAUUUUUAGAGAAAUAUAUUUGUGAUGAUAAAAAUAUUAAUUUAUGUAUUUUUUAUUAAAAAAUAGUACUCCGAUGAUAAUAAAUUAGAGAAAUAAAUAUAAAUAUUACUAAAUUUUUGUGGGAAACAAAUAUUUGCUAGUCGAUAUGUUCAGGAGAACUGAAUGAAAUUAUCCAAUAAGGUAUCGUUUGGUUCGGGGAUAAGCAAAAAGUGGGUAUUCCAGGGAUAGGUAUAAUUGAGGUAUAAGCGGGGAUUAGAUCAAUUUUGCGUUUGAAUGAAAAUUGGGUUAUUCCUCGGAAUAAAAAAAAAUAACGUUUGGUUAGGUAAGAUGGAAUAAGAUUUAAAGUGGGUAGUUAUAAAUAAAAAUUAAUAAUAUUAUCACUUUUUUAUUUAUAUUAGAAUUUAAAUUUUUAUAUUUUAUAUUUAUAUUUUAAAAUUUAAAAUUUUAACUUUUAAAUUUCAAAUUUUGAAAUUUAAAUUUAAAAUUUAAAAUCUCAAAUUUUAAAUUCAAAAUUUAAAUUUUAAAUUUCUAACUUUAAAUUUAAGAUCAAAUUUAAAUUUGAAAAAAAAUAAAUUCAAAUUUAAAAUUUCAAAAAUUUAAAAUUUCAAAAUUUAAAUUUAAAAUUUAAAAUGUGGAAUUUAAAAUUAUAAACUUUAAUUUUGAGAUUACAAAUUUUAAAUUUUAAAUAUAAUUUGUUAUAAUAUUUUAAAUUUUAAAUUUAUUUAAAUUUUAAAUUUUAAUUUAUUUUAAUAUUUAAAUAUAAUUUAUUAUAAAAUUUAUUAUAAUAUUUAAAUAUAAAUAAUAUGUAUUAAUAUAGCACAAUUAAUAAUUUUAUAAUAAAAAUAAUGUAUUAUAAUAUAUAAUAUAUUAUAUUUAUAUAAUUUAGUUUUAAUUUACUUUAUAAUUUUAAUUAAGUUUGAAAUUAAGUAUGGGAAUAGCACUAUUCCACCAAAAUGGUGGAAUAGUAAAAAGCUUGCUAUUCCGGAAUAACCGGGAAUAGCAAGCUUUGACCGGAAUAAAAUAUUCCGGUAAAAAAUGAUCCCGUUUGGCGGAAUAGCGGGGAUAAUCGCCGCUUAUCCCCGUUUGGCGAAAUAGCGGGGAUAAUCCCCGCUUAUCCCCGCUUAUCCCGUUUGGCGGAAUAGCACUAUUCCACCAAAAAUUUUAACGUUUUUAAAUAUACCAUACUAUUAAGAUUCAUUAAACAAAUAUUAUUAAUCAUAGCUAAAAUACUUAACUUGAUUAGUGCAUGAGCUAAAUUGACCUUUUUACCUCUUUUAUAUUAUUUGUGAUGGUAGAAAAAAAGAAGAUGACCGUUGAAAAUUUUUGAAAGGACAAUUUGCAUAAUUUUAACCGUUGGAAUUUUUAGAGAAAUAUAUUUGUGAUGAUAAAAAUAUUAAUUUAUGUAUUUUUUAUUAAAAAAUAGUACUUCAAUGAUAAUAAAUUAGAGAAAUAAAUAUAAAUAUUACUAAAUUUUUGUGGGAAACAAAUAUUUGCUAGAGAUGACGAUAUGUUCAGGAGAAACUGAAUGAAAUUAUCCAAUAAGAGACUCUCAACGAGUGUCAGGGCCAUUAUCGUCAUUUCACUUCCCCUCUGUGACUGUGAGGCCCAUCGCGUAUUCUCGAUUCGUGCCCGGUGCGCUCACCCCAUCCUCCCACGAACCGCCCUAUAUAAACCCCCCGACCCCCUUCGUUCUCCACUUCGGCUUCGACCCGACCCUCUCUCGUCGCGCUCUCUCUCGGUCCACCCGUUCCCUCGCACGCGUUUCAUGUCCCUCACCCCCACCGACGCUACAGGAUCCGCAUCGUCCCCUACAUCUCGAGCUCCCCUCCCGAGCCCUAGCCCCGUCCAUGGCCACCCCAGCGAUCUCCGCUCCCCCCGCCGCUCUCCGCCCCCCGAUGCCUCCGUCGUCGACGGCGGCGGCGGCGGCGGCGGCGGCGAUGGCGCGGUCGAGUGCCAUGGUGAGUUGUGCGAUGUGGAUUGAUCGAUCCCUUAGAUUAGGGUUUCGUUCGUUUGUUGCGGGGGAUUCGCCUAUUACUCUUUAUCUCUUUGAUGCGGAGUUUGGAUGUGUUGAGUUGCUUUGUUAGGUGGAUCACUGGGAAGAGGAAUUAAUUGCUCUUUAUUUCGCUUUAUGAAUGCCUUUGCGUAUGAUCGGUGAUAUCUCUGAAGUUCCAGAUUGUGGUAGAAGACUAGAAUUAAGCUACCAAAGCUGAGAGAGAUGAUUGGGUGGAAAGAAUCAUUAUCUAGGUUAGGGUUUGCUUUAUUGCAGGGAUUAUUAAUUGUGUUGGAGAGAGUUGUUAGGGUUUGAAUUGUUCUUUGUAGGAGGGUUUUAGAAGGGGCAUCAUGUUGAUCGGAGGGAUGAUUGAGAGUGUUGAGUUGCUUUAGUAGGUAGUUCGCUGUUAAGUGUUAUUAAUUGCUCUUUAUUUGGCUUUUUAAAUGCUUUGUGGAUGAUUGAUGACAUCUCUGAAGUUGUUGAUUGUCUUAAAAACUAGAAGUGAGCUAACAAAACUAGUGCUUUCUUUAUUUAAGGAGUAUUACAUACCAUUGUAAUAAAUAGUGGAGUCAAUUAAUUUUUCAUAUUUUAUCUUGCGCUACGUAGUUAAUUUAUGGGUUUUUCCUUCUCUGUCCAAGUUUUUGUUACUUUAGCUACUAGUCUACUACUACUUUUUUUGGAGAUAUAAACAUGGAUAGUUCUUAACUGGUGACUUAGUGCAAUCCAUCAGAUUUCACAUAAUAGAGUAGGCAUUGAUGUUAUCUAAUUUUUGCUGUGGUAUUCAUGGCUUUGUUUAAUACUCAAAUGAUGCCGAAUUGUACACUUGUUGUUUUCAUGACCGUAUAGUUACAUAAAUAUAUGGUUUUAUUUCUCAUGUUUAUUGUGCGAUGUGGUCAAACAAAAGGCAUAUGUGGUUAGUGUGCCAACAGCCAUGUGAGAUUUUGAACAGGAAAUGAACUCAUAAGGACAUUGCAAAGUUAGGUGUGAGAUUCAGAAUUUAAAAAUUUUCAGGAUCAAAUUGCAUUAAGUUGAAAAUUCAGGUAUUUUCUAAAACAUUUAGUCCACUUACUUUUUCUUUUUUUUUCAUUUGUCGCUUCUCUUAGAAUAGUGGUGAUUGAAGAAAUUAUGUAAGGGAAUUCUAAUAAAGUAUGUGCUGUUAGAUCUUUCUGUUAUAGUAGAUAAUCUCAUCAUGCCGACAGCUUGAACCUUGUCAUUAUGUUUGUAUAUCACUCUUCUGGCAUGGUCUAGGAAAUUUGUCAUCUUUGUUGAUUUAUGAUUUCUGUGUUUCCUGGUUCUAUUUCAAUUAUGAACACUGCUCAUUCAUUUGUGCACAUGAAAUUUCUGCUCAUCUGCUUUUAAUGUUAUGCAAUUCUGUCUUAUGCUUGUAAGUACUCCUUAAGAUCUCUUAUGCAUUAAUGGUCUGAAGCAUUCCUAAUUUGUUAGCCUCUCUUUUACAGAAUAAAGUUUAUAUUGAGAUUCAUAUUUUGCAGAAUCAGCAGCUGCUGCUACUGAGGAUUCUCUCAAUUCUUCCAAAGAGGUAGAUGGUUGCGAAUGACCUUCUAUAUUUUUUCUUAGUAAAAUUUAUUGAUUAAGACGGAAUUUGCUAAUUGGAUUUUGGUAUCUCUUGUUGUCACUGGUUGUGUAAAAAACAAUUGCAGGUAACCGGUUUAAGUGUCCCUAAUUCCAAGAGUGAGCCAUAUGGUGAUGUUGGCAGCACCAUUGCAAUGAGCCAGUCGGCUGGUAGAGAAGGAGCAUCUUCUCAACCCCGGUCUGAUCCUGUUGGAUCCGUUCAAAUUUAUCCUGCCCAAUCAUCUACAAGGAGAAGCCAAGGUGUUAAUGCUAAUUAUUUGCUAAACUUCCAUUAUGAUCCAAUUUCUCGGCCACAGCCAAGGACCCAGCCCAGGGUACCUCCUCCAAGACGACAACAAAAGAUCAAACCUUACAAUAAGGACCUAUUCCUCCAAGCAAAUUACAAAUUUGUUGUGCUGGACACUGGAAAUUAUGAAGUCGAAUCAAUGGAUCCAGAUAAAAUGUUUCAAUGGGAAGAUAUUAUCUGUGUAAGGUACUCUACCCCGGCACCGGUGCAAUGCCCGAUUUGCUUAGAAAGCCCUCUUUGCCCGCAGAUAACUUCCUGCGGUCAUAUCUACUGUUUCCCUUGCAUUUUGAGGUAUCUUCUAAUGGGCGAAGAGGAUCAUAAAGGCGAGAGCUGGAAAAAGUGUCCCCUAUGUUUCAUGAUGAUAUCUACAAAGGAUUUGUACACUAUCCUUAUUGAGAACGUCAAGCAGUUUCAUGUUGGAGAUUACGUAACAUUUACGCUCCUUAGCAGAUCGAAAAAUUCACUAGUUCCCUCACUUAAAAAUCAGAAUUCUGAAUGUCCUUUUCCAUUAGAAGGUGAAGGUGCCAGUGACUCGUUUUCGAAGUUCAUUUUAACCUCUGAUGUGGAGCUAUCUGUACGAGAAGCCAAAGCAGAUCUUAAUAACUGGCUACAUAAAGCCGACUGUGGAGUUGUCGAUGACUUGGAGAAGCUUCCAUAUGUUUGUGCUGCUCUGGACCAGCUAGAGGAGAGAAUGAAAUCUUGGAUGGAGCAUCGGCUGUAUAGCAGCAGCCCUCCCCUAAUGAGUAAUCCCUCUCCUCCAUCUAGCCAGAAGGUUAUGCGGACCCUUCAUAAGGUACCACCUAAUUUGUUGAACUUAUAUUCAGAUGGAAACAGCGCCCACUUAGAUACUUCAGGGUCAGUUUUUGGUGAGAAUCAUACUGGUAUAAAACAGCGCAAAACCUUUUUUGGUGGGGAAGUUGGUAUCGACAGUUCUCCAUGCUCACUGGCUGGUUCUCCUGAACAAUUAAAGAACUCUGAGAAAGCUCUAUUAUCAAAUGAUGAAGACAAAGCUGUGGAGGUACAUUUGGUUGACCGGAAGGAUGCAAAGGAAAGGGACUCAUACACAUUCUACCAGGUUGUUAUAUGUUGAUGCAUGUUUGCCUUUGAUAACUAUGCAAAUCAUUUCAUUAUUUGUCCUGUAUGUUUUCUGCCUUCUAAUCUUGCGCUGCGUUGGCUUUUCGCAGGUGGCUGAUGGUCAGCACCUGAUUCUUCACCCGCUUAACAUGAAGUGUCUUCUGCAUCAUUAUGGUGGCUAUGAUAUGCUUCCACCCAGGUAAUGGGCCUUUAAAUAUUUGAAAGUACCUGUAAACUUUCACCAUUACUGCUAUUCUUCGAUAUUGUAAGGUGUAUAUUAAGGAUAACAAGCAAAUGCAUAUGACAACUUUGUUAUUCGUGCUGUUUAAUGAUAAGAGGUUGACAAUGCUAGAUGUGUUCAUUUUCCUUUUUGAGGGAAGCAUUGUUUCGGAAUUUCUGAUGCUAUUGGUCAUCACUUUAAUCUUUUUGAUUGUAGUAAAAUGCUUUUAGUGCAGACUUAGCGGAAAAAUAUUGGAGCUGGAGAGUGUAACUCAGUCCGAAGCUAUGAGAAGGCGCUAUCGGUUCUUGAGUCACUUCUCUUUAACAACAAUAUUUCAGGUAAUUCGAGUCAUUAAUCAAUCUUUGUUGCAUUUUCCCCCACCUUAAAAGAGAUUGUUACUAUUGUUAUCUUAUGCAGCUUUGUGAAAUUGAUCUGAGUGACGUACUGCCUCCCAGUUCAUUGUCACCAUUCAUGGACGAAAUAAAAAAGCGUGAGAAACAGAGAAACCGGCUCGCUAAAAAGGUAUUAUGAAAUUGUAUUUGAUAGUAUUGGUACUAUUUGGGAAUCUUCUCUAGUCCUUUUCAUAUCUAUUUUCUGGCGUUUUAUGCAAUUAUACGAUUUGCUCUCCUAAUUGUUAGCUUUGUUUCAGGAGAUAGUUUCUUAGAAAAUGACCGGCUGUGGUUUUUCCAAUUAUUAGCUUUGUGUCCUUGUGCUUAACACCCUUUCCUAAUUUAUUGUAUGUUUAGGAGCAAGAUGAGAGAGAAAAGGCUGAAGCUGCUGCGGCGAAGGCUGAAGCUGCUGCAAUGCAUGCUAAAGCGAUACGUGAUCCAAGUGAUCCGAGAGAUUUUUCCCACAAGGAUGCAAUUUUCUCAUUGGAUGACUUCGAAGGUAAACUACCUUGUGCAACUAUUGUAAAUCAGAUUUGAAAUAUAUUUCAGUCCUGAUGGUUCCUACUACUUUAAGCUUAGACAUUUGAUGCUGGUUGGAAGUUUUUGGAUUUCCCAAAGAUUUCAAUUGUAUAGAAUUCAGAUAACCAUAAUAAAUCUUGAUUGAUUUCAGCCACAAUGCCGUAAUACAUUGAGCGAAGUUCUAUACGUUGAUGAAGCAUGUUGCCACUUUCAUUUUGUCGCUAUUAAGGACGGUACAAAAUAUUACAACUGAUGAAGAAAGUGAAUUUAAAUUGGUCCAAUAGCUCCUUUUGGCCAAUUUGGCUUGACAUUCUAAUGCUAGGUCUUCUCAUCGAUUUUGAAGUAUUUGCCGUUGUUUGAAUUUUUAGCACAAGCCUAAGUUUGGUAAGAUGAAUAAAUUUAUAUCUCACAUUAUUGUCAUACAGUGAUCUAAUUAGCUUUCUGUUCCCUCUUAAAGCGUUAGGAAGCAGUGCUCCGCCUUCUACUAGCCCUCCAUCAUCUGGCGAGAGAAAGCUAUUCUCUGAUGUGACGCGCCUCGGUUUUGCCUCUGCCCAUGAUUCUCCUUCCUUGAGAGUUGGAUCUGUUGGGUCAUCUGGAACCAUGAAAGAGAGCAUGACUGAAGCUUCUAACAAUCAUGGUACGUCUUAAACUCGCGCUGCUUGCUUGAAACGCAGUGUCCAAACUUCAGAUUUGUCGAUUAUUAUUUCUUAUACCCAAUUUUGGCAUCUGUUUUUAAUACAUGUAAUGAUGGAAGCAUUAUUAUAUAAGGUUAGAAUUUAAUUACAGCUUAAGACUUUCCAGGCGGGGUUAAGAUUAAUGAAGGCACACAAGGCAACUAUUCUUAUUCCGGUCAAACUCCAAGCGUAAAACCAAUAAUUGAGGUUGCUUAGGAUUUUGACUCACCCUGUCGGUGAAAAUACUAGAGCGAUAUCAGAGCAUAUCAAAGAUGUUUUCGGUUUAUUCCUUCCAGUUCAAAGAGUGGUAUCGGAGCUGUAUCACUCCAGUGUCAUUUGCGAGGGCGUUUCUUUGGACAAACACCAUCCAGUUCUUUAAUCCUGUCCUUCAUUGAGUUUAUGCCUUUCCAGAUUAAAAAGUUGCUUUUUUUUAUUUUAUAAUAUAAGUUAGUCUGAUGCUUGAGAUUGAACCCCUUGGGUACAGUAUCAUGUUCGUAUAAGAUAUAAAACAUUUGAAGUAUAAAAUAUAUCAUGAGAUACCUGCUUUGAGCGCACCAUUUGGUGCGACUAAAGUUGCUUUUACGGCUUCUGUUAUCCUCUCCAUGCGCAGGUCCUUCGUCCGUGACCACGCUGUCUUUCGCGAACGCGAUAUCGUCCGCGAGAGCCGUCGAGAGACCGGAAGAAGCGCACCGAGCAAACGGGUUCGGUAAAAGAGGAAAGAAACCGGCGGCCCGGGUGCUCCUCUCGACCUCUAGCGGCCGCCGCUACUGAUCGAGGAAUUGCUUCCGGUAAACUCUUAACAAGCUUGUACAAUAGACAUGUAAAUUUGUUCAUCAUAGAGUUCCAACUCGAAAACCCACUCGCAAUGCUUUGUUUUUAUUUUAUUUUAUUUUAUCUUAUUUUAUUUAUUUUUUCCCUGCCUUGUUUAAGCCUUAAACUGCUUUGUCUGAGACGUGGUUUUUGCCCUUUCCCACUUUCCUGGGAUGUUGUUGUUCUGUGUAAUUAUAUAUAUUCGCAACUUUGCGGAUCGUUAACUGGGUACUGGGUAAUGAAAAUAAAACAGUAUUAUUAUUUAGAUAAAGACGUAUCGGAUCCAAGCGUGCAUGAGAGAUGAAUGAAGAAGUUAUUUUUCCACAUACAAAUUUAGGCCCGAGUCUGGUGUCAUUGCUGUUUUUUUCUUUUGGUAAACACUGAUUAUAUAUAAUUUGAUUUUUUCGAGUUUUUUUUUUUUUAUAUUUUUUUAUAGUUGGUUAGUUUUUAAUGUAGCCGGCUAAGUGGUAGAUAACAAUUUGUUUGAAAUAAUUUUAAAAAGAAAAAAAAAGUCAUUUCUAAUUUUUUGUCCUCGUCAAAUAAUUUUUUAUUUCUAGAUGAAAGAAUUAUAAGUAAUUUAUUUUUUAUUUUCACAUCUUUUUUUAUAUAUAAAUAUAAAGUUUAUUUAUUAGAGUAGAAAGUAAAUACGAUACCAAACGCCUUAGCUUUAUGAUCGUGUGUUUUAGGUUUGGAGCUUUUAUAUGUUGCUGUGGAGUAAAGCUCAUGGAAAAAAUUAGAGUGCCUUUUCCAAUACUCGAAUAGUGUUAUUUUAUAUAUAAUAUUCUUUUGAACGACGGAUCGUUACAUCAUCAUCUUAAGUUUGAAGUCUAGCUCUUUGAUGGUUGGUAUUUGGAAUUUUAGGUUUAAAGUUUAAACUGUUUUAUAUUUUUAGUUGAUUUUAAAAAUCGAAAAAAAGAAGAAGAAAGGAUUCCUUAGUAGCAUUUUUUCGUCAAAUAUUUUGCUUUUGAUCUUAUGUUACAGGAAAAGCUUCAACUUUUUUUUUUUUUUUUUUUUUUUUUUUUUUUUUUUUUUUUCUUCUGAGAGAGAUAGGUAACACGCUAUCCGUUUCGUUUAUUUCAUUUAGAAAUAAAUUUAGCUGGAAAUGUGAAUCAAUUAGAAUUCAAACUUGAGAGCUCGGGUACCAACCAUCAAGUCCUUUGCUAUUUACUCUAGGGACGGUAGAAUUUCAACAUUUUAUAUUGUCAAAAUUUCUUUUGUGGGGUGGGGGUAAAACUUUCAUAGGAAACUCUCCGAGGACAUCUCUUUGGGGAGUCCUCAUCCGCUCUCAUUUGUUAAUUUUGUUUCCAUCUGAUAAAAUUGUUACAUAUUUUUUUAUACUAAAAUUCAAAAUUAACUACAUUUUUAAAAAAAUUAUAAUUUUUAUAUAGAGAUAAAAAUAACAAGUACAACGAAUUGGAGCUCCCCAAUGAAACGUAGUUGGGGUCCUUGGGGAGCUCCUCAAGUUUGAGUUUUCCUUAGAAUGGAGGUGAACUCAAGUUUACAAAAUUUAUAAGUUUUUGACUCUUUGACUCUUUUUUUUUUUUAAUAAAAAAAUUAAUAAGACCAGACCCAUGGUUAUAUUCUAGCCAUAUAUAGCCUAGAGCUUAAAACUUUGACCUAUAGGUCAUUCUGAAAUACUCCCCUCAACUACUUUUUUUNAAGUUAAAAAUCACAAUAGACUUUUGAAUAACUCUGUAAAUUAUUAUUAUUAUUAUUUAUUAACCGUUAGUUGUUCGCCAAGUUUAUUUUCUAUAAAGUGAUUAAAGUUAUUAAAUUUAAUAAAAAUAUUAUUAAUAUAUUUGAUAAAACUUUUAUUUUUAUUUUUCUUUUGACUAAAAAUGACUGAAUUUCCAAAAAAAUCACAACUGCGGAGAUUCUCAAAUAAAAAAAGAAGUUAAACUGAGAUAGGGCUUAUCUUAAAAAAGAAAUAUAGUUGAGGAUUUCCUAUACAUUUUUACCUUAAAUAUACAGUAGUAUGUGAGAAUAUCGAAAAAGUAGGAGGACUAUGGCAUAAAUUUUACCCUGAUCAAGAGAACACGGGGUCUUCGUCCUCGUCUUCGCCGCCUCCUCCUCCUCCUCCUCUUCUUCUCCCUCUCGAUCGAUCCAUCGAAGCCCCUUUCUCACGGGAUCCCUAGGGUUUGAUCUCACGCGACGCCGUACUCGACCGCAUUAGGAGGCGGAGCAGAGAUGAAGAGGGUCUUCGGCGGCAAGAAGAACAAGGACCCGCCUCCCACGAUCCAGGACGCCACCGAUCGGGUACUCUCCCCCUCUCUCGAUUUCUCGAGGAAAUUCGGAUUUUUUAUCUGAUUUUGUGUAUUUUUUGGUCGAAAUUUCUGUGAUGUGAUGAUUUUGGAGAAUCGUUUUGGUGUUCUUUGUUUGUGGGAUGAGAAUGUUAGGGUUUUACUGCAAAUGCUUCGAUCCUUUUGUUAUUCAGUAUAUUGAACCCUUUCAAACUGUUGCGUUGGUAGCAAUUUAGAUUCCAGUAAGACAUGUAAUGGUAAAUUUGCACCAAAAUAUGCUAUUGGUACAGUUUUCCUCGAUUCCUCGAAGAAAUUAUUUUUUUUUUUUCACUCCGAUUUUAUGUGCUUUUAGAUUGAAAUUACUUCGACAUAUUGAUAUAGGGGAUCUAAAGUUAGGGUUUUGAUGGCAAUAGUUAGGGUUUUUCUGAUGAAUCCCACAAUAUAGUAGCAAAUGACCUACCUCUUUAAGUGACCCUUUCAAACUGUGGCGUUUUGCAUCAAUUUAGGUUCCAAUAAGAAAAGAAUUAGUAGAUUUGAAUGAACAUAUGCAAUUGGUAAACUGAGCUUCAGAUUUUUAUAACAUGAUAUUAUGUUGCUCAAUUACUCUUUGGGCUCUUAGGAAAUCACAGUGAUGUUUUAUGGAGAUGAUGAUGAUGAUGAUGAUGAUGAUGAUGACUAUAUGAUGUUUGAGGAGUCACAACUCACAAUGCUUUGGCCAUUUGUCAAAAAUUAUAAAAAAGUGUUACAUGGUACAUUGGAUUAUAUGCUGCUUUCUCCAAUAGUUCAGAGAUAUAGUGGUUUUUUUUUCUUUUUUUCUAAUUUGGUUGAGUUCUAUUGUUCUAGCUUCUUCAUAGUUAUAUCCCGGACUGUGUUAGUUGGAGUCGAGAACAAGGUGGAUUAGAUAUUUAGAUCAAAUCCAAAUCUUCCUUAAGUAACAAAAUUAUUAUUUUUUUUAUUCUUCUGUUUCUUCCUCUUUGCAUGACCAUGUAGCCUUUUAUUUUUUAUAUCUCUCUGCAUAUUUUCCUUAUAAAGUGUUUUCUAGCUUGAUUAUUUUCUUUUUACCUAUUGUGUGCUGUAUUUCUUUGUUGAUGAAUAUUUUCUUUUAAAUUACUUCGUAGAUAAAUAAAAGAGGUGAUACGGUUGAUGAGAAGAUUAAAAAGCUCGAUGCUGAGUUGGCUAGGUACAAAGAGCAACUUAAGAACACUCGACCUGGUCCUGCUCAAGAAGCUGUGAAAGCUCGAGCCAUGAGAGUUCUUAAACAAAAGAGAAUGUAAGAGCUCCAUUCAUUGUCCUCUCCUUUUGACUCAUUUAGCACGAUCGUAUAAUUUUGACAGUGGCUGUGAAUCAUUUUGAGAAAGCGUAUCUUGUUAUAAAUGUCUCAUGAUUAACAUCAUUUCAUUGAGCAAGAAAAUCGCCUCAAUCGUAUGGCCUUAACCAACAUGCUGGCAGGGUAGAAUGUUGGCCCUUUUCGUUGAUUGCAUGUCUGUUUCACUACAGUACGUCAAUUAUUAUCUUUAAACAACACCUUUCAUUAUGUAUGUCCAUUAAUGUUUAUCAUGCUUCUAAUGCAUGCUCUUAUACCUCAAAAAAAAAAAUUUAACGGGUACUCUCUAGCUUGCCAUUAUUUUAGAGUAAUAUCCAAUGCUUUAAUUUUUCUUAGGUAUGAGGGACAACGUGACAUGCUUUACAACCAGACCUUUAACCUUGACCAAGUUGCUUUCGCAUCGGAGGGACUUAAAGAUGCUCAACAAACUGUAUGCCUGCUAAACAUCUUCAAUCACCGAGAUUACUCAAAAGUGGUUCAGUUUAGUACUUACAUUUGGUUGUUGGUUAUUUUGAUUUACAGAUGACGGCGAUGAAGUCUGCAAAUAAGGAGUUGAAAGGAAUGAUGAAAACUGUGAAGAUUGAAGAUAUAGAUGUAUGUUUUUGCCUUCCUGUUGCUUUUACUUUCCAGAAAGUCACAUGAAAUUUGAUUUUGAUAUAUAUACAUAUAUAUUACCUCACAAAACUAUCUAUCUAAUCAUAUGUAAUGUCCCUGGAAAAUCUGAAUUCUCAUUAUGCCCUUCAAAAACUUAAUUGUCUACAUAUAUACCCUUGUAUUUAUAUACAUGCUGCUCUUCGGUUUUUUUAUUAUUAUUAUUCUCUAAUGAAUACAAAACCAGCUUUCUCCUAUGAAUUGGAGGACUCCCAGCUUGAGGAUAUUUUUUUAGGAAAUUUUACUUUUUGAGGGAUAUAUUCAGAAGUUAAAACUUUACAGGGUUGCACAUGUAAAUAACGUUGUUGCGGGGAUAUAGAAGUGACCUGUUGAGCCUAUGAUUUUUCUCCUUUUUUUUUCUUUUCAUAAUAACUGAAACUCCAUUUAUUAUUCCAAUAUGUAGAGCAUGCAAGAUGAGAUGAUGGAUCUUAUGGAUGUGAGUACUGAAAUACAAGAAUCUCUAGGUAGAAGCUACAACAUCCCUGAUUAUAUUGACGAGGAAGAACUGAUGGGCGGUAUGAUGAAGGCAACACUUCAUUUAUGUGCUUCUUUCUCAUAUAUUUACGAAGGCUAUUAAAAGAUCUAUACAUUCAAUUUUUUCGCUAAAUUGUUGGUUCUUUCGAAAAUAGAGCUAGAUGCAUUGGAAGCUGACAUGGGAACCGAAACGGAAUCCAGUGGGGUCCCAUCAUAUCUCCAGCCCGAUAAGGAACCUGAUUUGGAUGCGGAACUUACCUUACCUGCCGCUCCAACAGGCGUUCCACCGAACAGGCAGAACCCACAGGUAUACAUCAUCAGCUGUCUGAUGCUGGAAAAAAAGAUUUUUACAUGUAAUACUCCAAGUUUAUCUAUUCGCUUAUACACUACCUCUGGAAGAUCAAACCUCAUAUACGGUCUUCAAAAACUCGACUUCGUACAUGUAUGUUCUCGUUCUUACAAUAAUCCGCUUAAAACCUUUUUAAAUAGAGAACUAACUUCUCAUAUGAAUUAGAAAACCCGCAGGCGUAAAUUGAUGCUAUAUAUGCAGAAUCCUUUUCUGAAAUUGUGUAUGCUAUUGCACAGCAGAAGCCCCUCAUGUUCAUUGUAAUAUUUUUGUUCGCGAAAUAGGCGGGCUGAGUUUUCCAGGCAGUGGGCUUUUAGUCAUUGCUAGAAAUAAUUGAAUAUUCACACAUCGAGGGUUCAAAUCAUGCAGUAGAUUAUGUACUUAACUAGCUAGCAUAUAGUGAGUUAUGCUGCAGAAAUAUUCUAAUCCUGAAAAUUAUAGAUUGUAUAGUUUGAGUUAACCUGUGUUGUGCCCCAACCAAAUAGUAGCUACGGGUCGCAGAAUUAUAUGCCGCAAACUUGAAUUCAGUGUCCAUUCUGAAAUAUUCGCAGAAUUAACCUGCGUUGUGCCCCAACCAAAUAGUAGCUACGGGUCGCAGAAUUAUAUGCCGCAAACUUGAAUUCGGUGUCCAUUCUGAAAUAUAUUCAUCAUGUGUUUUUGUGCAGAUGGAGGACGAGAACGGUCUACCCGCCGUUCCUCGCGCGUCGCUUCGGGGCUAGGUUUCGUACCGAAAGCAACCCCCUUAUGUAGCACUUUGUUUUCUUUAUCAGAGUGAUGAUGAUGAUGUAUACUAUUUGGUGAGUGGCAAUAUCAUGUGUUAAUUUAACUUCAUUUUUUUUUUCUUUAAUGAAAACCUUUGACAUGUAUUUAAAACUAUGAUGGUAUUGCAGUAAGCUGUGACACUGUUCUAAUGUGUUUUAGAUGAAUUAACAUAUUCUGAUCGAUUGCACCAUUAGUUCCCAAUUGCUAUUCUUGGUUUUUGAUUGGUUCUCAACCAUUUACUGUAUGUGCAUGGCCUUUCUCUUUGGAGUAAAUCUUCUUUGUAACAGGUAUGUCAUAUAAAAUUAGUAAUUUGUAUCAGAUUAAUUGGAUAUUAUUAUUCUUAAAAAAGUUUUUCAGUGGUGCUUCCAAGUAAGACUUUCAUAAUUGCAGUUUUUCUUGCAAAAAGUUGAAGAAACCAAAAUUUGCUUUUAAAAGCAAAAAAAAGCACUCCAUGGAUAUAUGUUAAUAUAUAAAAUUGGAAUCUCAAUCUGUUUCUUCAAACAAAUACAAACUUGACCCAAGAAAAAAAAAGAACCAUUUUGAUUCUUCUUCUAUUGCUUGAGCAUAAAAAUAACAUCUCCCUCCUACUACACACUUAAGACCCCUCCUCUUCCUCUUCAACCAAGAUCUCACACUCAACACUCACACUCACACACACACACACACACACACACACACACACACACACUCUCUCUCUCUCUAGAGCCUCUUAUGAAUGCUAAUCUCAAUUUCUACUUACAUGAACUAUAAAAGGGUUUAGGGGCUCAUUCAAAUGUUUCUGGAAGAGGCCUCCCUGCUAGAAAAGCCCUGAAGAGCACAAGAGACCUCUCAGGCUGUGAGAAUGGGGCUUCAUGAGAAGCCCCUCGAAUUGUCGCGAAAGAGAGCAUCUCUCCAUACACCUGAGUCCACCCACCAACCUGNCCCCCCCCCCCCCCAUUUUCAGUACCAGAUUCAUACAAACAACUCCGACGAAAUCAUUCGGUCUCAGAGAUUCGAAGGAGAGAUUGGUAGGUAAAAUUUACCUGCUUUCCUUCGAACCAAACUCGAUACGGCACGCUCGUUUUGAGACCCAGUUCGCUCGCCAGCCUUUGCACGAGACUUCGGCUUCCCGUCAGAGGAAUCACCGAAUCCUGAUCCCCGCUGCAGCGACAGAAACAAUCGGAAUUGUGUAAAAAAAAGAAAAAUCUAAUUUUAAGAAGUUCCUAGAUUCGUGCUCGAGCUUUCGAUACCUGUAAAUCAUCACCGGAACGCCCGAUUUAAUGAGCGAACCGACGACCGCGAUCGUCGGUAUUUGCAAGUUCAGCAGCUCAUACUCGAGAACGCUGAAACAAAAAGGAACCAAUAUCGGCACGAAAAUUCCUACCUUGAUUCAAAAUCCUAUGUUCUACACAAAGUAAAGAGCGAGCUGAAGAAAAGUAGCAACCAAUACCUACUGCAGACCGCCCAUUUAGUCACGCCCGUGAGCCGCGCAUGCAAUGCAUCCUGCACGUCUUUUCGGUUAAGAUAGUUCACCGUUUCAUCUUCGACGCACACAUCUAUUUGCUCGCCGACUUGCUGCACCAGAUUCGCACAAACCCAGUUGAUGAGAGAGAUAAAUCAAAGGAUUCUAAUCGAGAGUAAGUGCUUGUUUCAUCUUCUGCUUCUCAACUCAAAAAAGCAGAAGUUUCUGAAAACCAGACACUUGGCAAAUAGAAAAAGCUCUAAUUUGAAGCUUCUGUUUUUGUUACAACCAGAAUUUAUGGUAGUAGUAGUGCUUCAUUGAAUAGGUUUAGUCGAACAAUACUUUUGCAGAAGCUCCAGCCGACACAAGAGGCUACAAAACGAGUACUCGAACUUACGUGAGGAAUUAGAACUUUGGACUGCGAAAGAACCGACGAUAAGCAAACAUCGAGAGUGACGUCGUAUUUGUCGACGAAUCGACUCGUUUCUUUGGUCACUUGACUCAUCACCCUCUCGCAAAUCGGGCUAAGCGAGCCGCUAUAAUACUCGCUCACAUAUCUGGAGUAGUUACAUGCUCUUGUAAAGAUUUUGUAAGUUGUAUCCGAGAUCAAUCCAUGGGACCAGAAAAACUCCGCUCUCGAGUUGAAGUCGGUCGAGAAUUCGAGUACCGGAUUCCCGAGCUAUUAAAAGUCAGAAAAUUCAGUCAAAAAUUGCUAAUUUAGUCUAAACUUGUAAGCUUUAUGCAUGUUUAGUACUCACAGCAAUUCCUUUGAGAUUGAAGAAUUUCCCUUUUUUGUUGAACUCAACCAUGAGCUGCGCCAGUUGCGGCACAUAAUGACCUGAUCACCAGUUUCAGUGAUUUUUAUUUGAAUCUUGUAACUUUGUCCCCCUUUUAUUGGUUUUGUAAUUUCAAUUAAAUUUCUCUAAAAUCCCAAAAAUAAAAGGGGGGGAAAAAUAUAUAUAUAUAUAUAUAUAUAUAUAUAUAUAUAUAUAUAUAUAGAGAGAAGAGACAAAAAGAGUGGAAAAUAUACCAGCAUAGCUUUCUCCUGUGAUGUAGAGAUCCCUGUCCUUAUACUGUGGGAAUUUUGCAAACCAAUUCUGAAGAAACACUAAAUUAUCCCUGGCUACAAAAAACAACAACAACAACAACAACAAAAAUUUUUUUAAAAAAAAGGCUUCAUUUUUGCUGCUCAAUUCAGCAAAAAAUUUACAAAUAAAGCAAAAAAAUUUGCUCUUGGAUUAGAAUUUUUACCUGUCAUUUUAUCAUCUACACCCUCAUAAAAUGAAGGAUCAGAGGAGUAAGAGAAUCCAACACCUGCUGGGCUCUCCAGGUACAGCAUAUUGGCCUCUGCAAUUAAUCAAAUUUGAAUUGUUUCCAAAUUUAUUUAUGUUUUUUAGUGAAUCAGAAAAGAAAAAAAGGGGGGGGGGAAGAGGAGCCCAACAAAAGGGAAUGUAACAUCAAAGAGAGAUUUUGAUACCUUUAUUCCAACUAUACUCAUUCCUCACCAGGACAUGGCCACUUGGUCUAAAAGGCCCAUUCUCUGAGAAUGCUCCUACUCCCACAGAGGAACACCCAGGUCCUAUACACAAAUCAAAGUUUUUAAUCAAAAAAGAAAAAUUGAUAAAGCCCAAAGCUUUUUUAGCAGUAGCUGUUGCAAAAAGCUCUUUCCUUUCCUCUCCUCAUUUUGGGAUCUUUUAGGAGAAAACCCAAUUGACCCAUUUGUGUGUGUGUGUGUGUGUGUGUGUGUGUGUGUGUAGAGAGAGAGAGAGAGAGAGAGAGAGAGAGCUGUUGCAAAAAGAUCCUUUUUUUCUUCAUUUUGGGAUCUUUUAGGAGAAAACUCAUGAACCCAAUUGACACAUUUGUGUGUAGAGAGAGAGAGGGAGAGAGAGAGAGAGAGAGAGAGAGAGAGCUGUUGCAAAAAGAUCCUUUUUUUCUUCAUUUUGGGGUCUUUGAAGGAGAAAAACCAUGAUCCCAAUUGACCCAUUUGUGUGUGUAGAGAGAGAGAGAGAGAGAGAGAGAGGUGGUGUUGAGACUUGAGACUUGAGACAUGGGUAGAGAUUAGAGAUUACAAUUAUACCUCCAUUUAACCAGAGGACAAGAGGCUUUGAAGCAGGGUCAAUCUCAGAUUCAGCAAAGUAGUAAAAGAGAGCCCUUUGCUUGAGAGAGUCCACAGUGAUGUAGCCUGCGUAGUGGAGGAAGCUGAUCUGGGGCUGCCCUGGGAGCUUCUCUAUCUUGUCUGAGUUAAAAUGAGAAUGACCUUCUGCUUCUGCUUCUAGCUUCCUGCAGAGAGAGAGAGAGAGAGAGAGAGAGAGAGUGUUUAAUGCUGAGUCAAGUAGUGAAGAGUUUGUGAGCAAGGAAGGGAGAAUAUAUAGUGGAAAUCUUUUUGGGCAAUGCCUUUUCUUUUCUUUUCUUUAUAUAUAUAUAUAUAUAUAUAUAUAUAUUCACUUUUACUCAAAGCAUAUAUAAUAAUAAUAAUAAUAAUAAUAAAUGAAAAGGAAAAUGAAGAGGGGAGUGUAUUUAAACUGGAGAGAGAGUCACAAUGUAUGUUGUUGUUCCAUUUGAACACUUAUUAAGAUCAGAAAAUGCCUUAAUAAUUUUUUUUUAAAAAAAAGGUAUUUUGAGGGUCAGAUGAAGAGAGAGAGAGAGAGAGAGAGAGAGAGAGAGAGAGAGAGAGAGAGGGUACAAGGAAGACAAUUAAUAUUCUAGAAAUCUCAUGGGCAAUGCUUUUCCUUUUUUUACUAUCAGGUUACUUUGGUUCAAGAUUUUUAUAAUAUUUCAAAAUAUUUAUAUUAUAAAGUUUAGAAUGAUAAAUUUGUUACUAAUUUAUUAAUUUAUUUGCGUUGAGAGAUUGUCGGGAACUAGUAUGUUAUUAUUAUUAAUGGACGAUUAAUGAUUCUUAUUAAGUAUGAGAAAGAGAAUAUCUUUUUAAUUCAUAAUAAUUUUGUAUUCCUAAAUAAUAAUUUGCAUAUUUUUAAUAAAAAAUGUGAAGAAUUACUAAAAUAUUAUAACCCAUGAACCAAAUAUACCCUCGGUAUACCUUAAAAUGGGUGUAAAUCUUAUGCUUCAUUCAUCCAAGAGUUUUUUUUUUUUUGAGAGAUAGAUAACACGCUACCCGUUUCGUUUAUUUCAUUCAGAAAUAAACUUAGCUAGAAAUGUGAAUCAACUAGGAUUCGAACUUGAGUCUCGGAUAUCAACCACCAAGCCCUUUGCCACUUGCUCUAGGGUCGGUAUCCAUCCGAGAGUUAAAACAUCUUUUUUUUUUUAGAUUUUUAAUAUAACAAAAAGAUUAGGAUAAGAAUAGUGUAAUAAAUAUUGAUCCUUAAAUGCGUAGGAUUUUACAUUUAUUUUAUACUUUUGAGUGUACACAUAAGAUUUUUCUUCUGAAAUAAUAUCUUCAGUAUUGUCUUAAUUAAAAUUUUCUUAAAUUUUUUUAAAAUUUAAAAAAUUUAGUAGAAUGAGUUGAGAGAUUUUACUAAAUUUAUUGAUAAUUCUAUCAAAUUUAAUAGUUUAAACUGCCAUAUAGUGAAUUGAACUGGCCAAAAACUAGUAGCUAUUGAGAAACAAUUAAAGGAUGUUAAUAAAAUAAUUUUUAAAUUUGAGGGAUCUGUUCCAGAAUUGGCUAUAUAGUAAUAAGGGGAGGGCUCCAUACAUUUUUACCCAAAAAACCAAAAGAAAAGAAAAAGGGGGAACAUUUGUUGCAUUUUGAACCCUAUAAAUAAAAUAAGCAAAAAAUUAAUCUUUUAAUAAUUUUUUUUUUACAAAAAGAGGGAUAUACUUUGAUAAACCUUUUAAUAAUUUUUUUUUUCUAAAAAAAGAGGGGUCACAUGGUUGUGUGAAGAAUUUAAAUGGGCCAAUGAGGAGAGCCUCCAACCUUUUAAUUAAUAAUAUAUGCAUGAAAUAAUAGAAAGUGGGGUUUUGGUAGCAGACAAUAGUGCAUCAGCAUCCUUUUCUCACUCACCCUCUCACCCAGUCUUGCAAGCAGUGUUUGCAUUCUGCAGACUGACUGUCCCCCACCCCACCCCAUCCCAGCAGCAGUAUGUGCUGCCAGCAGGUUACUUGUAGGUGUGAUCAACUCAAGAAAUUAUGGAUAAGAAACAGUACAAAAAAAAAAGAGAACAAAAAAAAAAGAAGCAUUUAAGCAUUCAAAUAGUUAAAGUAAAAUUAAAUUAGGAUGGUUUAGAUUACAUCAAGAUUACAAUAUUAACACCUAAUUUUAAAGGGAGAAAUACAAAUUAUAAGAAAUAGUUUUAGAAGUUAACACACAAAAACAUAUUAAGGAGUAGAUAGAUUAUUAAUACACAUGAGAGAGAGAGAGAGAGAGAGAGAGAGUAAUAACUGUUGCUUCUUCUUGUAUUCUACUUUUCUUGUAAGAAAGGAGUGGAAAAAAAAAAAAAGAAAAACAUGCCAGAGAGAGCAGAGCCAGUUGUCAGGAAUAAAACUUCCACUCUUUUAUUGGCUUGUCCAACACUCAAAUAGCAAGAGAUAUAGAAUAUUUUGACUUGAUUAUUUACUUUUUUUUAAUAUUUUAAUUUUACUAUUUAACUUUUUAUUUUGUUUGAUUUGAGUCUGUUGAUAGUAUUUUAAUUUUUAAAAUUUGAAUUUAUCGUUUAUUUUAUAAGUUUAAUUAGUAAACUUUAUACAAUGAUCGGAACUAUAAAUUUAUUAAAGCAAACAAUUAACUUAAUUUUUAAAGUCAAAUUAUCGUUGCCUAACUCAAAUAAAAUAAAUUGCAAGAUUGGAUAAUAGAAUUAAAAAUUUGAAAGAUCGCAUAGCUGAUUCAAAAUGGUAUGUAAUCUGGAUAAAUUUUAUAUAUCGUUGCCUCUUAUUUAUUAGGCUGAAAUAUGUACUUGCAAUUGCACUACUGCACUACAUUGCAUGUUGGUUUCUAUACUUUUUUUAGGUAAACACUUUCUAAGAAUUAAAAAAAAAAGUUUUUUUAAAAAUGAUCAUUUUGUUCUUCAGUAGUAAAUAAAUCAAUUUAAUUUCAAUAUUAUUAAAUGCCAUUUUGUAAUAAAAAUCUAAUUUUCUUUUUAUAGAGAUUAGAAAGUAUUGUACAGUACAUUUUGGAAUUGUGAUUAAUGUUGAUGAUCCAACAAAUGAUAUUAGGAUACAUCAUAGGUUUGAUUUCUACAUACUGCAAUUUGUACGUGUGAGGAAAGGAAGGAUGGCGGAGAUUGUUGCUGGGCAGGCCAGCAGUCUGCCUAUAUUGUUUGCGCCAAUGAUCCAACAAUAUAUAAAAGUUCAAUAACUAAAAUAUUUGAACUAAACAAGUAAAGGGAUAGAACAUACUUUUUACCCUAUAUAUUUAGCAUUCAACUAUACUUGCAAGAAGAGAACAAUAUUAUGAGCAUACUACAUAAACACCAAAAAUAAACAAAAUAAAUUCCUCAUUUUAACAUUAAGGAGUUAUAUUAACCACACUCCCUUUUUUUAAAAAAAAAGAAAAAAGAGUUCACUCUCUCACAUAUUGCCUUAAACAUGAAUUUUUAGAGAGAGAAAGAGUGGGUGUGUGUGCUAGAAAAAUUGGGUGUAUCUAUCAAAUUAAAGCCUCCUUUCCACAACAUGGAGCUUGUGAUAAUAAUAAUUGAUGAUAAUAGUAGCAAAGAAAGAAGACACCCCUCUUUAUGAAAGUCCUACAAAAGCUAGGCCAAAAAAGAGAGCCCCACCAUCAUGCCAUUGCCUCAGCUCAAAGACAAGUGUUGGUGUGCACUACUGUAGUAGUACCAUGAGAUAUUUACUGAGUGAAAUUUAUUGCAAGGUAGAUCCUGGACCUUUCAAUUAAAGCAAUUUCAAUUUGCUUCUUGUUCUCUAGUUUGAACAAAUUGUUAACAACUAGUCUUCAACUUCCAUUGAUUGUUCAAAUAUGCACCCAAAAAUGAUAAUAUAAAAUGGAAAAUGCUAUCUGUACAACUACAUGCAAGUAUAUAUAUAAAUCUGACGCCCGUUGCAUUUUUGAUAUUGAUAAGACUAGACGGAGAAAAUAUGCCUUUGGAUGAGUGAGGUGUAAAUCUUACACCUGGUCAGAAACUAUACAUGCAGAUGAUGAACAACAGCUAGCUAGGAACUUAUAUGAUUUUACUGUAAGAUAUAGAGUAUAGUGUUAUUUAAUAAAAUGCUCACCGAAGUAUUAGUUAUAAAAAAAGCAAUAGUUUAGAAUAGUCCUGUCUGUUCAUUCUACUUUUCAUUCUAACAUAAGCUCUGAUGUUUUGUUUUUCUUUGUUAUACUCUACAUUAGAGACUGCUACUCUCAAAAGCAGAAGCGGAACAAACAAGCCCCAAACUCUAUUCACAGAUACUCUGAGCACCACAAUACAUUUUAUUCAUAUAUUUUCUAAGAUUUUUUUUGUUUUUUUGUGUGGCCACUUUGGGAUACUUAAAGAUAAGAUUAAUAACAUUCCUCAGAAGCCAUUGUGUGACAAAUUUUGGUCUUUGAGUCUUUGACUAUCUAGAAGAUCCAUGAUUAAUUAACUUCAUGUGCAAUGAACCUGCUAAAUUUGUUCUUGAACACCUAAAUUCUCUGAUUGUUUUGCAUAAUAAGCCAUUUGAUUGGGUUCUGAAUCUGACUGUUUCUUUCUGUGUACUAACACAAAGUUUUAGCUGACAAAAGAUAGUGAACAAGUCAUCCCAAGAUUCAAGUGUUUUCUUGUGUGUGUGUGUGUGUGUGUUUUUUUUUUCCCUGUGACAAAGGAUACAUGAAGACAACCUCAGUAGCCUUUUUUAGGGUGUUAAGCUGUUAUCAACCAUCCUUUCAAGUUUCAGCCUUAAUUGAGAGAGAGAGAGAGAGAGAGAGAGAGAGAGACCUGUGAGUUUUCUUUGGACUUAGUCUCUGACCAAACAAAAAGGGUCAGAGAAGCUGCUGGGACACCAAUAUGCUCCAGAAUGUCUUAAAUAAAUUACUGCGGUAUAAAUGUUACUGUAAUGAAAGGUUUAGUUUUUCCAAGUUUAAAUAGAAUACAUAGGCAAGCAUCAACUCUCUAACUGUUGUGUGUAUAUAUAUAUAUAUAACUGACUCUCAUCGAUAAUAUAUUCUAAGUAGAAGUGGCAAUUCGAAUUGAUGUACUAUAUUCAUGUUCGACAGCCAUGCUAAAUUGUGUCAAUUUGAAGAUAAUCUGGUCAUAAAUGCUCACAGAAUUAUCUCGUGUCUUACUUGCAUCAAAUCGUGUCAUAUUUUCAAAUUUCUCUUAGUAACUUCGUAUUGCAUAUGUUUGAUCGCGGUCUGAUCGUACUAUCUUGUCAUGUUCAAAACUAUCAACAUCCCUAAUCCUAAGCUACAUUGUGAAAUACAUGAAGCAUUAAUUAGUGCCCUUCUUAAUUUAUAUUGCUAAACACUAUAUGUCAAACAAUUGUUGUUUUAAUAUGUUUAAGACGUAGACUUGCAUUAAAUGAUAGGAAACUCAAUGAUACUAGGAUCUGAUGGAGUUCAAACUCAAAAUCUUCUGCAUUAACACUAUGUUAUUAUUUUUUUUUUUUUGGAAAACUUAAACUUUCACAUAACAAUGCCUUUAAAUAUUUAUAUCCAAUAUAUAUGGUGAGAAAUGGACUGAUAAAGCUGGGAAGUGGACAGUGCACUCCCCUCUAUAGAGAAAUAUUCUCCUCAUUAAAACAAGCACUCAGAAGGAAAAAUAAAAAAAGCUGCUUCCUCUAGCAGCUUGUUGCAGCCUCCCCCAGUAAAAACUCAACACACACACACACACACACACACACACACACACACACACACACACACAUGUGAAACAUUGAGCAGUAAAGUGGAUCAGAAUCUCCACAACUAUACAUGCAUGCAUGCAUGCUAUGAGUGAUCAUCUCACUCUCAUUCUCUUGUUUCCCUCUCCCUAAACUGUUGCUGAGGAUGAAGAUACCAUUGUACAUGCAUGUUUAAUUUGUUCCCAUAUAUAUUUAGUACUACUUACUCUCUCUUUGUCCAAUGUUUCUCUCACGUGCAUACAGGUUUUUUUUUUUUUUUUUUUUUUUUUUUUAAGAAAAGGUAAUGAGCUACCUGCUCCAUUCUCCUCCUUAUGUUAAUGCCAAAUAACUUUUUACUCAUUUCCUAUUGCAAAGGUUUAUAUAACAAUUAAAGGAAAAUACACACACACACGCACAUAUCCACAUGCACUAGUGCAUUGUUGUGUGAAUGAUUAGAACAACAUUGGUUUUGGGUGUUCCCAAAAACUUUGAAAAGCCUCAGGCGAAAAGAAGGAAUAGUACGAGCGAAAAGGAUAAACACCUCCAUUGGAGUGUGGGAUAAGUUAUUCUCCAAAGAACACAUCUUUUUUUUUUCUUUUUUUUUUUCGGUUUUCGGAGAAUAUAUUAACUAUACAUAGGGGAUAACUUUUUCAAUCACAAGUUUACAACUAUACUAUGAGAUUGAGGAUAAUAUCAAAAAGGAUAAUACUAUAUAUAUAUAGAGAGAGAGAGAGAGUCCGGCUAUGGUGCUUGUAAAAGCACCAAGCACUUGGUAUUUGUAAGUUUUUUACCGUUAGAUCUACGUCUUUAAUCAUUUUCAACCGUUAGAUUAUACUAUUAAACCAACUACCCACUCAACCCUAGGGGACCCACAUCAUCCUAACCGCACAUCCCUUAAUCCAAGGGCCGAAAACUUACAAGUACCAAUGACUUGGUACAUUUAAAAGUAUAGGAGCUCAAUUAUAUAUAUAUAUAUAUAUAUAUAUAUAUAUAUAUAUAUAUAUAUAUAUAUUAUAUAUAUAUAUAUAUCCAGCUAUAGCACGAGGGCUCCGUGCUACUCAAGUUUUUUCGAUGAUGUGGCUUCCAAAUCAACAAUCGGCUCUGUUCGACUUGAUCUACACUAUUGAAAGUAUUUAGAAACUAAAUUUCAGAUUUUUUUGACAUCAUUUGACUAGUGAUCAAAAGAUCUCAAAAUUGACAAUUUUAAAUGGUCGAUGUGGUGUGUUUGAGAGUUUAACGGUGUAAAACAGUCCAAAUCGGAUGAAAUUUUAUAGAAAAUUCUUUUCAAACCUCCUUAAUACGUAAAGAUCAAUAUAUCUGAUCUUAAAUUUAAAUCUUUUAUCAUCAUUUUUUAUGAGAUUUUUAUUUUCAGCUGUUUAAUUUUAGACUACUUGUUUGAUAGGUAAAUGGUAUCGAAAAAUUAUGAAAUUUAGUUUCAAAAUACUUUUAACAGUGUAGAUCAAGUCUAACGGAGCCGAUCGUCGAUUUGAAAGCCGCAUCAUUGAAACCAAUUUGGUAGCACGGAGCCCUCCGUACUACCGAUAGCAUAGUAGCCUAGCUCUAUAUAUAUAUAUAUAUAUAUAUAUAUAUAUAUAUAUAUAUAUAUGAUGUGUCACAGCUAAUCUCACAAUUAUUUAAUCAACUAAUUUGGAAACAUGCAUGAUAUAUUACUCCUCAAUUAUUUAACUAUUGCUGGUAAAAUUAGGUAAAAAUGUGUAAAGAAACUAUAUAUAAGACAUUUUGAAUUUAUUUGUACUUCGAACUUAAUUUACUUUUCAUUAUUUUCUGCUCUCUUGUUUUUUAUUUAAGUGGAUUUUGAUUAUUCUUAUAAAUUAUUUUAAAAAAGUUAAAAAGGUUUCAAUUUAAAACACUAGAAAAACAUAAUGCUGGUAAAUUAAAUUAGGUAAAAAUGUGUAAAGAAACUAUAUCAGAAGACAUUUUGAAUUUAUUUGUUCUUUGAACUUAAUUUACUUUUCAUUAUUUUCUGCUCUCUUUGCUUUCUAUUUAAGUGGAUUUUGAUUAUUCUUAUAAUUUUCUUAAAAAGGUGUCAAUUUAAAAAGGUGUCAAUUUAAAACAGUAGAAACAAAAUAAUGUGGACUCUACAAUUCUAAAGGUCCCCAGCUAAAUUGGUAGUGUCACUUUAAUUAGAUUUGUACCUUGAAUUUAAAAUAUAAUUCAAAUGCUUGUUUCAUAUAGCUAGGGAUAUAGCUUUCUCCUUACAUGUGUAGACCAACUAAGUAAUUGCUAUUGGAUUGAAUACAAUUAUUAUUUACCACAUGGUGACAUAACACAUUCUUGUAGAACACUACAAAUCCUUAAUUAUACAUGGUCCCCAUAUGAUAUAUAUAUAUAUAUGAGUAGGCUGGUAUGCUUAUGGAAGCACGGAGCCCUCCGUGCUUCCACUUUGUUUUCGAUGUUCGGACUUUUGAAUCGACGAUUGGCUCCGUUAGAGUUGAUCUAGAGUAUUUGAAGUACUUAGAAAAUAAUUUUUGUGAUUUUUCGAUAUCAUUUGCCUAGUGAUGGAAGGGGCUCAAAAUCAAUAAUUUUAAUGGCCGUGGUGAGCUGAUUGCAAGUUUAACGGUGUAGAAAUAUCCAAAUCGCAUGAAAUUUUGAUAGAAAAUUCUUUAUACCAUAUAAAACAAGAUCAAUAACUUUGAUCUAAAAUUUUAAUAUAAUAUCAUCAUAUUUUGUAAGAUUUUUAUUUUCAGCCGUUGAUUUUGAGCCACUUCGAUCACUAGGCAAAUGAUAUCGAAAAAUCGCAAAAUUUAUUUUCUAGAUACUUCAAAUACUCUAGAUCAAGUCUAACGGAGCCGAUCGUCGAUUCGAAAGUCCGAACAUCGAAAACAAAGUGGAAGCACGGAGCCCUCCGUGCUUCCAUAAGUAUCCUAGCCGCACUAUAUAUAUAUAUAUAUAUAUAUAUAUAUAUAUAUAUAUAUAUAUAUAUAUGAACAUGCAAAUAGUUUACACGAAACAAGGUGUUAAAUUUGUCUCAAUCAUUGUUAAUUAGAAUUAGCACUUCUUCUAUAAGCUGAUCAAAUAAAGUUCCAAAACUUUUGAGUAGAGUACAAAAAGAAAAGAGAGAGAGAGAUUUAAGAUACAAGGAAGUAAAAAAGUUUUUCUUAAUUUUAAGGGGCAAAUGAUACAUAAAUAUAUAGAGGGUGUUUUAAUACCAUAUUUUUGUGAUCACUUAUUUUUGAGUAAAAAUCAAGUUGUUUAGUAGAAAAUUACAAAAGAAUGGUUAUUAGAUACUAGCGAAAAAUAUCACAAAUAACUCUAUAGACAAUAUUUAAACGCAUCUCAAAUUAUAUAAUAUAAUCUACCAAUAUUCCAACUUACCCUUAUUAAAUAUUACAUAACAUACAUGAAUAAAUACAAACAAACAAACAUUCAUACACAUUACAGAGAUGCUUAACCAAAUAUAUAUAAAGAGGACUAGAAGCCAAGAAUAAACUACAAUAAGAUGAGGCCAUACUUUAGACUAAUCACAUCUUUUUUGCCCUUUUAAGGAAAAUUUAAAGUAAUAAUUAAUUUCAUCUUUUUUUUUUGUACUAUAUAUAUUAUGUCUUUGGUAAUUUUUUUAAAAUAAUAAUAAUAAUGAGAAAGAUGUGUCCCCUCAUGUCUCCUCUUCUUUUUCCAUGUUGCCCACUCAACUCCACACCACCAUCAUAUCAUAAGAAUAAAUAAAAAAAUAAUCUCAAGCAAAACCCAAUGAAAAAGCAAAACCCUAACCCCAAUUCAUUCAUGUGAAAAAGUGGCCGCAUGCUUAUUGCUACUACUACCACUACUUGGGGAAAUGUGCAUGGGGAUAUGGUCAAAAAUAGUGUAAAAUUUUCUCUUGGUAAAAUUGUAUGGAGGAGCCCCAACUUUGUUGCAUUUGGAAACAGCACCCUUAGGCUUAAUUUGUUUAGUAUAAUCAUUGUCAUUUUUUUUAUUUUUUUAAAAUAAUAUUGAAUCCAUACAAUAUAUAUGAAGUGCUACAGAAAUUAAAAACUUUUUUUUUAAUUAUUAUAUAGUCGAUUAACUUACAAUGCAUGAAUCAGAGACUAUCCACUAUGGUACUUUUUAUAUGCAUGAUUUUAUUUAGAAAAAUAAAAAAAACACUAGGGCAUAUUUGUUUCACCGAAAUUGGAUUUUGGGUUUAGGUGGAGUUCAGUGAAAACUACUUCUUUUCCGUUGUUUAAUUAUUUCGUAGUUAUGGAAGUGAAGUUUCAUUAGUUCUGUUAUUUGUUUGGUAGGAAGUGUAUGAUGUAAAACUAUAAUUUAUAUAUAAAUAAUAAAUAAUUUAAUAAAUAAAAAUAAUAUAAUUAUAUUUUUAUAUAAUUAAAAUUUAAUUUAAAACAACUAAAUUUUUUUUAAUACAUAAAUUACAAUAAUACAACAAUAAAAUUAUAAAGUAAAAAAAAUCAAUACUUUAUUAAUCAAUUUUUAUCAUAUUUUAAAUAUGCCAACCAAAUAAAAAAAAUUAAUACCAUAAUUAAAUAUAAUUAUUUUUAUCUAGUAUAUUAUUUUAUUUUAUUUUUUUCACCCUCCUUCACUGUAAUUGACUUCGGCCCAUGAUGGGCCAAAGUCAGUUACGCCGUUUCGGGUUAACUCGAGUUUCAACCAUAACUAUUUGACGGCAAGCCAAACAACGGAAGUGUUUAUGGCGUAAACGACAUCCCCCUCUCCACUUCCCCCUCACUUCCACCCAAACAAACACACCCUAUAUGAAUUGAAACUAGGCCUUAACUUUCACUUUUUUUUACUAAUAUUCCUUCAGAUUCAUUUUUAAAAAAUUAAUUGAGUUUCGUCAAAUAAAUUAGAGAUCUUAUCAAAUUUAUCGAUAAUUUUAUCUAAUUUAAUAGUUUUAGUUACUACGCUGCAUAUAAAACUAUAACAACUAGCAGUAGAUAACUAAAGAAUUUUGUCAUUUUUUUUAUAUAAAAACUCAAAGAAUUUUGUCAUUCUUUUUAUAUAAAAACUCAAAGAAUUUAUAAACUGUAGAAUGAAAAGGUGUAAUAAUUUUUUUUUUUUUUAGAGAUAGGUAGCAUACUAUUCGCUUCGCUUAUGUCAUUUAAAAAUAAACUUAGCUGAGAAUGUGAAUCAACUAGGAUUCAAACUUGGAAUUUCGGGUACCAACCAGCAAGCCUUUGCCACUUGCGCUAGAGACAGUCGGUGAGAAGGUGUAAUAUUUAUCAACUCUAUUUUUUGGCUGUAAGGAUAGUGUUGUUAUGGAUGUAUCAAAAGUUAAACAAAACUUAAAUUGAGGGUGCUAUAUUUAAAAUGAGGUAUACAUGUAGGUGUGUGGUCUCUAUACAUUUAUUAUAUUUUUAUUUUUUUACCAAUCUCUCUCUCUCUCUCUCUCUCUCUCUCUCUCUCUCUCUCUCUCUCUCCUCAUUUUUCUUUGGAGGCUUGUGGUGAAAGCAAAGAAGGCUUUUGUCUUUGUUAUUAUCCUUUUGCCCCCCUUAACUUUCUCUUCUUUCCAUGUGUGUGCCUCCCCCGCUCCUUAUAUUUAUCACUCUUUUAUAAUAAUAAGUGGGAGUAAAAGGCCAUUAACUUUUUCACCAUUUUUCAUGAAGAGAUAAAUAAAUACCCACCAAAGUUUAAUUUCCUCACCUGACACUUCCCUCCUUGUCCCCACAAAACACCAAUAGAGACCUUAAUUUACACUCUUUUUUGUUUAUUAAACACCCUAGACUCUUUUAACAAUUUCUUGUAGUUGUUUAGGUACUGAUUAUUAUGUUUAGAGAUAAAUACAAAAUUUCUCUAUGAAAUAAUUCAUAUGUAACAAUUUUGAUUUUGAAGUAUUAAUUAUUGUAUGACAGUUACAAAUUUAUGUUAAUCUAUUAUUGAAAAAUGAAUCAUUAUAAUAAUUCCUUAUUCAAGUUUCCUAUUUUUGGGUGGAAUCUACACAAAUAUAAAUAUGAUAAAUCAAAAUCGACUCUAUUUGGUAUCUUUGAUUUUUUACUAAAUACGUCAGCAAGAAUGUUAAAACUAUUAUUAUAUUCGAUCGGUUCCAGAUCUAUUAGAUCGAUAUAUUCAAUCCCAAAUAGCUAAGAGCAUGAAAAUUUUACGAUAUUUCAUAUUAUUAUUAUUAUUAUUAUUAUUAUCCCAACUUAAUUAAAAAUUUUAUCUAUACACCAUGCUAAAAGAGAGAAAAUAAAAGAGCAAUGAUCACCUUAUGAUAAAAAAUAAUCACCAUUAGUUAGAAUAAUAAGCAUUUAUUAUAUGUUUUAUUUUUAAUAUUGCAUGCUACAAAUGUAACAGUACCCAAGGGCAUUAUUAUUUGCUGUAAUAUAAAAUAAGCAUUAAUGUAUUUGUUUACAAAUUAUUUUUGAUUGGGAUAAUGGCUUAAUGAGUGCAUGUGAAUUUGUGGAGCCCCUCUCUGAAUUUCAUGAACACCUUUUUGAAUAUUUUUAAAUUUUUUCUUUUAAUUAAUUGUAAAUUUGGAGUUAAAUAUCAUUGCUUUUGCCCAAGAAAUUAACUAUAUAUAUAUUUCGAAUAUUAAUUUCUCUAGUUGUGGUCCACUAUGUAUGUACGAUUCAAUUGGAAAAGUUAAGGAAACAAUUUAAUGAGUCAACUUAAUUUAUGUAAGUGACUGGCACAAGCAACUGAGGGAUAUUAAAAAUCAAAUCUUUAUAUUUGUCGCUAAAUUUAUUUGACGGUCAUUUUAUAAAAUUUGAAUUUGAAAAUCUCCUACUCUAAUAUUAUAUAAAAAACUGAUUACAGCUUAAAUUACUAAAAAAGUAUUAGAUAUAAGGUAUAAACUUUUAGGGUAAUCAAUUAUUUUUCUAUAUAUAUAUAUAUAUAUAUAUAUAUAUAUAUAUAUAUAUAUAUAUAUAUAUAUAUAUAUAUAUAUAUAUAUAUAUAUAUAUAUAUAUAUAGAGAGAGAGAGAGAGAGACAGAGAGAGACAGAGAGAGAGAGAGUGUAGAUAGGUUGGGAAAAAAAAUUUCGGUGGGGAGCUCCAAAUCAAAGUCUGGUUGAAGAGAGCCCCUCGAUUUAGUGCCACAUGUUAAUUAGUUUUGUCUCUAUUUCAAGAUAUUAUAAUUUUUUCUUUUAAUUUUUUUAUUUUAACUUUAAAAAAUAUCUAAUGAAUUUUUAAAUGGAGACAAAAUUGACGCGUAUUGGUGGCUCCGCAAUGAGGCGUUAUUAGGGAGCUCUCAUCCUCUAAAUUGCACCUGUAUUGUGUGUGUGUGUGAGAGAGAGAGAGAGAAAUAGUAGCCCUCUAAAUUAGACCUAUUAUUGUGUGUGAUUAUUGAGAGAGAGAGAGAGAGUAUUGUGUGUGUGUGUGUGUGAGAGAGAGAGAGAGAAAUAGUGGCCCUCUAAAUUAGACCUAUUAUUGUGUGUGAUUAUUGUGUGUGUGUGUGUGAGAGAGAGAGAGAGAUACGGGCAUGUUAUAUUAUUCAUGCCAAAAUUACAUAUAGUCCCUAGCUCUUGAUCUAAUUAAAUUGUACCUAUUGUUCUCUUUUGUUUUGGCAAUGCCUAAUUGCCUAAAUCUAGAGAGAGGUUUGUGCAUGGGAGAGAAUAUAUAUAUAACUUUAAUGAGCUAAGAAAGAAGCCUAUGAAGAGAGAGAGGUUACUUUAAUUUGUCUACUUGUUUUUGGAUGGUGGUCUUUGGCUUCUGGUGAGAGAACAUGCUUCCAUGCAUGCAUUAUUUGCAUGCUCCUUAGCCACAUUAAUUGCUAUGAUCUAUUUGAUUCCCAUAGCCCCAAAAACCUAGGGUUUGGAUCCAUUCAAAAUCUCUCUCUCUCUCUCUCUCUCUCUAAAAGUUUAAACUAUUGAAGAACAAUAUUUUAGCUUGUUCAUAUUCAAGAUUCUUCUUAAUCAAAGACUUUCUAAAAUGAAUAAGUCAAAUGCACAUAUUUGUUUUAAACAGAGUAAAUUAAAGAAUCGAUCGUAGAAACAUGGCUGAAUUCGAACAGAACAUCAAUGUCGUUGUCUUUAUAAAAAAUCAAAAUACUAGUUAUAAAUUAAUAGUACUCAACACUCAUAGUUUAUAUUAUGUGUUAAGAUCAUGAGAUUAUUGAGUGAAGGGAUAGCUUCAAAAUGAGAACUCAACAAAAAUUUUCUCUUCACCGCGCGAUCGUUCCUAGAGUAAGUGGCAAAGGGCUUGGUGGUUGGUACCCGAGACCUGAGUUCGAAUCCUAGUUAAUUCACAUUUCCAGCUAAAUUUAUUUCUAAAUUAAUGAAAUAAACGAAGUGGAUAGCAUGCUACCUAUCUCUCAAAAAAACAAAAUUUUCUCUUCAAAAUAAUAAUACAUUGAGAGAUUUGAUUGUGAGUAACCAAAUGAGCAACAAGUUCAAGAUGAAUCACAUAUAGUGAUGUGAGCUUGGUCUUAGCAAAUUAGCGGGCCGGGUCGGGCCUCGUUAUAUGAGGCCCGAGUCCGGUCCGAAAUUAAAUGAUCAGGCCAGACCGGGUCGACCGGAUCAGGAUCCAUCGUAGAUUUAAACUUAGUUAUAAUUCAAAUUCGAAAAUUUACUGUGCAAAAACUGCUCAACAACAUGAAUUAGAGUUAUUUUUAUUAACAUGAAACUAAAGAUCAUAAUAUGAUGUUAAAUGCAUAUAUACCAAGUUCUCUCCCUUUGAGACAUCUCAAAUAAUUUAUUAAAUCUUUUUUCUAGCAAUUUUCUCCUUCUUUUUUCCCCCUCAAUUGUGUCGAUCGUCGAUCCGAAUCCAUAUAUAGGCUCUUCCUAUUGGCUUCUUUUUAUUCCUCUACAAAAUGCACUCAAAAAUAGGAUCUUCAAUCUCGACAAAUGAAAUCUCCGACGCCUCUUUUUACCUUUUGAGCAUCGCAAACAAAACAUCGUGUCUUCGUUUUCGCGUAACCGAUUUCGAAUUCUCAUUUGGAGAGCUAAAUUCUCACUAACCAAUUUGCUAUGCUCCUCUUGCAACAUCUUGUUCUCUCUCACAAGUUUCUCGACUCGACUAUCUCUUAGUUCCUUAUUUGCUUCUCUCUUAUUCUCGAGCCUCCUCACGAGCUCAUUCGUGUGUAUCCAAUUCUCCUCGAUGAGAUCCGAUAGUCGAUCAACACACGAAAUCCUUCGAUCGAAAGAACUAGUCCUUCCCUUAGCAAUAAGAUUCGAACUCAUCGAAACGCCAUUCGCGGAUUCUCUUUUCAUGUGAGAUUCGAGCUCAGGAUCUUCUAUUCCCGACUCAGGGUUCGAGUCGGAAGUGCUCAGCUUCUUGUAAUCGACAUUCGAGCCUUCGAAACGCGCCGAGAGCGACGAAAUCGACGAUCGGUCGAAGAAAUGGGAGCAAUAUUCGGCUAGCGAGCGGUACAACCUUCGGAACUCUUCGAUCCUCUUCUCGAUCUCCGGUUUCUUCCGGUAAUACGUCUCGGCACGAUCGGCGAAUGAAACACCGUCUUCUAUCUUUAUCAUUGAUAGCAAUGCUUCCGUGUUCUCCUCGAGCUCUAAACAAAAUAACAUAAAAGCCAAAUUCCAUAACCUAUAUCAAUUUUUUUAAAAAAAUAACAUUAAGCAAACAUGAUGUUGGGUCUCAAUAAUGUCAAAGAUUUAUAUUGUAGCGAAAUAAAAUAAAAGAUAUAUAAUGCAUGGUUGUAACAAAAUAAUAAAAAAAACUCUUACUUUGAGUGCAUUUAUUUGUUAAGAAUAAUAACAAUGAUUAAAUUAGUUUCUUAUGAAUUGUAUUCCAAGUGUGUUAAAAUGAUAUAUAGCGAUAUUGUGAAAUAUCUAAGUUUAUUAUUUCACAAAUGGUAAUUAAUAUUAAUAUAAUAUUUAUUUUGUAAAUUAUAUAUAGAAUUUCAAGUACCAUAGAAGUAGAUGCAUCAUUUUCUAGGUAGAUAAAACCAUUAUUAUAUAUAUAUAUAUAAAAACACAUACUCUCUUAGAUUUUUUUUAAUUAAAAAAGAAAAGGAAAUUUAAAUAAUGGCUUUGGUAAUCUCUUUUUUAAUUCUUUAAUUAACUUGUUCAAUUAACCUUAAUGGAUUCUCAUAAAUAAAAUGAAAUUCAAAUUUGAUCUAUUCGACGGCUCUUUCAUUACAUAACCUAAAUAUGAUAUUUAUUUUGAGGGAUUUGAUUAAAGUAUCUCACGUUAUUCACGUAACUACUUCAUCAAAUUAAAUAGUGUUCAAAUUUUUUUAUCAAAAGAGUCAUCAAAUCAUUUGAAUAAAACAAAUUAUUAAAGGUGAGGCAUCAAAAUCAUACAAUUAAACUAAAAUUUCGAGCAAAACAAAACAUGAACCCGAAAGGCGCGAAUGAAGCCACGUAGAUCUCCGUGGGCUAUUUUGAUGAAUCCAACGCCACGAACACGAUCCCUUCUCAAUUGUUGCAUCCAUUUCAAUUUCCUCUCCUUUAAUUUAAUUAGCUUGUUCUUUAGAGGUGGUUAGUAAAUAUAUAUAUAUAAUAAAAAACAGUGUUGUUUAAUUUGUAUAUAAAAAGGGCCAUUUUUUUGGAAAUAAAAAAGGUAUUUAUUCUUUAUAAUAAUUCCUUUAAUUUUGCCCUUCAUGGGUCUUAAAAUAUUCAUAUUUGUAAAUAUUUUGUAUUUGUGAUUUGAAUAUGAGGACCGUUGCGUAGCUAUUUAUGGUACUUAAAUGAUUUGUUUUGGUAUUUUAAAUUCUUAUUAAAUAUGGCUUCGUGAUCACAUUCUUUAAAAAUGGCAUUUGAACAUAUUACUAUUUUGGGUAAGCGUCGCAUUUCGUGGUUUCGUAUUUUUCCAUUUUAAUAUUUCAUAGUUUAAAGUAUAUCAAUUUAGUACCCUACGAUUUUUUUUUUUUCUUUUCGUUAGCUUCUUCAUUAAUGUUUUCUUAAAUUAUAUACAAAAAAAACUUUAGAUAACACACUUAGGUUUAUCGAAUAUUCACUAAACUUUAGUGUCUUUUAAUUUUAACUUUGUCACUAAUUUAACGAAAAAAAUAGUGAAAAUAAUAAUAAAAAAAAAUAAACCACUAGGUACUAAAUUGAUAUACGUUUUGAACCAUAUGAUACUAAAAAAAGAAAGUGCAAAACUAUUGGGAUGAUAUUUAAAGUUUUUCUAGUAUUUUUAAACACUUGAAUGAAAAGUAUCCGUUAUGGUGUUGAAAUCGAGGCGAAAAAUUUUGUAUAUUAUAAAUCACAGCUUUGAGAUUCGAAUUUUUUGGCGAAUCAUAAGGCUUAUCAAAUUACUUCAAAAGAUCUUAUUGAGGAGUUUAAUUUCUCAAUAAAAUCGCGCUCUAAAUUUACUACAAGUGGCAGGUUUUGAUUGGUUAGCAGAAAAAGUUAAAAAAAAAAAAAGUAAAAAGAAAUGUAUGGAGACCAACUCAACUGUUCUAAACAAGUACGAGGAUAAAUCUCAACUUUGAGUACCACAUUACAGAAGCUCAUAAAAGUCAAAUUAUACAACCCAAAAUUUAAAUUUUGCCAAAUUGGUGCAAAUCAUUUAUUGCUUGUGGAAUUUCUCAUUGACUUGGAAAAGAUCACUAGAGUAUAUGAUAUAUAAUAAUUCCUCUAUCAUAUUUUUUAUCCUUUUCAAUAUGUUUUAUUAAGCAAAAAAAAAUUGCUUAAACAUGCAUCUAUCACCUCACAUAUAUAAUGGUGAAAAAUAAUACUACAUCCACUUCCGAAAAUAACAUAGUCGACCUCAGAAUCUUAUGAUUGAUAAAAGUCUCUCGAUAAUGUGAUUAUGAGCGAUUAGUAUCUACUCACGUUUACUUCUAGAAGUGAGCAUAGCAUUAUUUGUAACACGUUAUAAGAUAUAGUAUGUAUGUUACGUCACAAGAAACAUAGGAUAUAAUUAAAUUAUCAUUAAAAUUUUACUGCAUUUGUUGAUAUUUUAAACCUAGGAUUUUAAAUUUUGCACCAAACAAGUAUUUUGUUCAACUAACAUGCAUGGUAGUUAGAAUUAACUCUCACAAUUUUUUUAGGAAAAACUUAAAAGAAAAAAAACCCGUGGUUUCGUAGUUUCUCACUCCCUCCCUGUGGUUUAAAAUGUAUUAAAUUGCCCCAUGCGGUUUCGAUUUUAUCUUUUCGGUAGCUUUUUCGUUGAUAUUUUAUUAAAUUAUAUACAAAAAAUUUCAGAUACCCAUCUAGAUUUAUCAAACAUUCACUUUAGUACCCUUUAAUUUUAACUUUAUCACUGAUUUAAAAAAAAAAUAAUGAAAUUGAUAAGAAAAAGUAAAAAAAGAAACCACAGGGGGUUUUUUUGAAGUUUUUCCUUUUUUUUAUUAACAUAAUAUGAGAAAUUGGCAAAGGAAAAAAAUCAUCUUUCUGUGUAGAUUCAAGAACAUUUUCUAUGAAAAUGUCUCCCUUUUAUGACUUUCUUUUCUAUCUUUUCUUAUUCGGAAAACAAAAAUUAUACAAAGAAUAUUUUUUCAUGAAAAACUUUUUUUUUCGCCCCAGAGAACCAGACAUUCUCUCAGAGAGCGUUUGGUUCGUCGGAAAAGCAUAGAAAAGAAAAAAAAAUUUCAUAAAAAUAUCUCUAUUUUAGUUUUCCAUUCAUUUGGUUUUAAACAAAAAAAAACUAAUUUUUUUAAAAAAUAUAAUUUUCAAUUUUAUGAUGAAUGAAUAUUUUUGUUUUUCGGAUUUAUUUUUUUUAAAACCAAAAUUCUAACUUUUCACUAGAUUUGUAAAGAAGCUUUUCAAAAUAAAUACUUUCAUAAAUUUUUUUGUUUCAAAAAGAAUCUUUUUUUCAUACUUUUCCGUAGAACCAAACAACCCCCAUUAAUGUCAUUUUAUAUACAGUAAAACCCUCUUAAGACAAAAGUACAUACUUAGGUAAAUGGUUAGAUGUCGUUUUCAUUUAAUUUAAAAUGCUAAAGAUUAUAAUAAUAACUUGAUUGUUACUGUCACCAUACUAUACUAUACUAUUUACCAUUAAUUGCAAAACUUAAAAAGUGUAGAAACUAAAUUGAUACUCCACUCAUAUUUUCCACACUAAAAUAUUAACCCUUUAAGUGUAAUUUAGAUUUUUUUUUUUUUUUCCCUGAAGAGGAUUGGCCCCGCAUUGGACACGAGUCUCAAUUCUCACAUACUAAGCCCAUUUGUAGACCAUAGAACCUCUUAUUAUUAUUAUUAUUAUUAUUAUUAUUAUUAUUAAAAUUCCAAUGAAGUAAAAAAUGUAAUUUAAAUCUAAACUUAAUUUCACAAAAUCUUAGAGGUCCCAUGAACUUAGCAUGAAAGGGAUUAAGAAAAGUAAAAAAAAAUUGAAGUCAAUGGGAGAGCCCUUUUCAAUCUUUCUUGUCUCAGAAAUAAAUCAAAUCAUUAUAAGAAUUUUGUGGUAUUGAUAGGUCUUUAAAUAGAAAGGGGGGGGAAAAAAAGAAAAAAAUGCAUAACCUUACCCAAAAUUACAACUCACCACCCAAACUUUCAAACUUUAAAAAUUUGCCACAUAAACAAUAAUAUUAUUGCAAAUUACCAUGUAGCUUCAAUUUUUUUUUUUGUUAAUUUGGCCCAACGUUUAUUUAUUUUGUAAUCACAUGUGAGUCAUACUUUAAGUGAAAAUAUAUAAUUAAUUUUUCUGAAAAAUGUUUGGCCAGAUUAACUGAAGCAAUAGCCAUAGAAAAACACUCAAAAAUUAUUGUUCACGUGAUUAAUUUGAACAUUUUUAUUAAGUCGCCAUUCGACAAAAAACACAUAAGAAUAUGUAAAGCCAAAUUACAAUUUUGGUCCUUGCGUCUUUGCACUUUUUAAGUUCUCAAAACUUAAUUUUACUGUGAUUUUUAGCUUAAAAAGUUUUCUACAUUAUUACAAUUAAGCCUAGCAAUCCAGUUUAAUUAGCCAUUUAAUUAAUAAACUAAAUUAUACUGUGAAACUUAAUUGCAAUAACCUACAAAUAUUUAGAAGCCAAAAUGCGCGGAUCAAAGUGUUACGUGGCCAACAAGUUUGAGGACCAAAAUUAUAAUUUACCGUUGUAAUAAAACUUUGAAAUUAAUUUUUCGCAAAAAUAAGAAAAAAAGAAAAGAAAACAAGAUCUGCAAUGAUAUUAACGAUGCCAAAUGAUCCAAUUCCCUUCUAAAGCAAAUUAAUCAGAGGACCCACGCGUAAAAGACUAAUUAACUACUCGGCCAAUCAGCCGGUGCCACGUGGCUUCUCGUGGGAAUCCUCCAAUGACCUUAUAAAAAGAGACCUUUUCACACUUCAGUUUCUCUUUAGAAAAUUUGAGUUCGAUCCCAACACGAAACUCAAAAAUUCUCGCAUCAAAUCCCUUUAUAGAUUUCGAAAAAUAACCAAACCACCCUUUUUUCGUUCCAACCAAUUUGUUAAUCUUCAUGAAAUUCCUCUUCUCGCCUCUCCGAAAUGAGUUAUUAGACGAUUUACGUUCUUUUUUUCCUUUUCUUUUCUUUUUCUUUUCUUUUCUUUUCUUUGUUGUGUGUAUUCUAAGCUCCCAGAUUUCAAAGAUGGUUAAAUUCCAAUCAAUUUUUUUGGUUCGGGAAAAGCAAGGGGGGUUCAUCGGGUCGGGUCGGGUCGGGUCGGGUUUGUUAUAGUUUAACCGCAAAGUCGUGCUCGCUUGCUCGCCGAUAUAGAAGGGCCGAGGCCUCCACCCUGUAUUGGGAAAGCAAGCAGUUUGGACCACAAAACAGUUAGCGAAACCGUCGGCGCGUGCUCGUCCCUUCUUUUCCUUUCUCUUCUCUCUUCUGGUGUGCAUUUGUUCGCGCGCGCGUGCGCGAGCGCGAGAGUUAGGAGAGAAAAAGCACCCAGGUUUCAUAGGACUGAUACUGGGGAGAUGAGGAGGCCAAUAUGGGCCGAAAUUCGACUUCGGCCCAUGUGAUUCGGAACCACACACUUUCGCGGUCUAAUCCACCGUCCAUGCUGCUUUAAGAUUCGAACUAUGCACAUGACCGAUGGCGAAUUAGGCCAAGAAGGGGUCCCCACAUAAUUCCUUAUUACCCCACUACCGGCCUUUGAGCCCACUUAAAACGAUCAAUUACUAAAGGAUAAAAUGCAUGAAUAAUCCCUGUACUAUUUUACUCGAACACUUUAGUCCCUCAAAUAUUAAGUUUUUUUUUUAAAAAAAAAAUUGGUUGUUUCAUGUGAAAGAUCAGGAGCUUAAAAAUGUCUAAGGGAAAAACAUAGGGACCAAAGCGCAAUAUCGGGGAUAGUUUGCGAACUAUUCACACAUUUUACCCUUAGAAAAAAAAAGAAGAUGAACAUGUAUUAAAGUUUCGAAUGAAAAAAGAAUCUCUCACCAGCCAGGGUGAACGACGAACCGCCCCGUCGACAAAGCCCAGUUCACCUGGAUGUCAUGAUAGAAGAGAAAAAGAGAGCAAAUAUGUUCUUAAGUGAUCAACAAGAGGAGCCAUGUAUAAAUAUCAGGGAUACAACCACAUUCGCAUGUGCGGCAUUUGCGAUAAAAUUCGAAAAUGGAAUAAGAAGUUCAUUGUCCUGCGAAACUUUAAUGAAUUUGGUGUAAAUAUGGGAAGUAAUUUGGGUUCAUUUUCGAAGUUAAGAAUGGUAUAAGGGAACCAAAUAGUAUUUCUUAUUAAAAAUGAUCAGAAGUUCUUUUUUGAUUGAGGAAAUAACUUGUGAAUUGAAUUGGAGGAGAAGUGUAAACCAUAUAUACCUUGUCGGUUCCAAGCGAAUUGGCGACGACAUGUGUGACCUGCUCGUCUAUUUGGUUUGUGCAAGACGCGCCAAACUGCUCGGCCGUUUGCCACAGCGGAUGGAGAUGGGGGUUAGCUUCGCCGACGGGGAAAACCCUGCUGAAGACGAUCCGGCACCCAGCAAGGAUCUUCUUUUGUUCGGUCGCGAGUAAGUUCCGCACGUCCACGUCCUUGAGGGAGCGGUGCGAGAAGAAGAUGUUGUGUAUCCUCUCAAUGACCUGUUUCGACAAAAUAACACCAAAGUGAAACUAGCACGACUUCUGGUAUAAUCUUCGGUCCGUUAGGCAAAACCUUCUUAGAGAAAAAGAAAGGAAAAGGUAAUGAAUUUGCAAGACGGAACACUUCUUUCAUUUUUUUCGCAACUGCAUACUUUUCAACUUGCAUGAACACCCUCCUCCACAGGACUAAGAUGCACAGUACGAAUGAUUGAUGCAUGUUUUUGGUAAAUAUUUUUGAAACUGUGUCGAUGAAUGAAACAUUAAUACUUCAAAAUUGUGCUUUAUGUCCUGUAGCAGAGGGGCAAUUUGGUUCUAAGAAGUCGAAAAGCGAUGUCAAAUUAUAAAGACAAAAAAAUGGUGUCCUAUUUGCAAAUCACAGGGUAGGCGGAUUUUUUCUCUCCUCUUUGUUCUUUUUGCUAAAAUGACUAGUAAACAUUUAGGACUAUGGUCUGAUUUCUGAAUAAGGAGUGUCUGUACCGCCAAGGAAGAAGCGAGAGUUCCAUCUUCAGGCCUCUCAUCAUGAUCGAUCUCAAGAAGGGAUGGCCCUAGAAGCCCAAAUUGCCGCCGACUACAGGGAAAGUAAGUGUACCUGCAAAAAAUUACAGCGCACCAAAUUGCAUCAAUUAGGCAAGAGCUUUUUGUUUUCUUUUUUAAUUUGGGGGAGAAAAAAACACAAAAGUAGAAUUAACGUUUUGAGUGACAAUUUACCUCUCAACCACAAUUAAGUUGAGUUUGUUAUGAGGCCAGACCCUUACGGAAUCAUCGAUAAUCACAACCGCGGAUUCCAUGCCCAAAACCCCAUCAAGAUCCUUGCUUUUGGGCACCCUCUCAUCGCCAUCAAAUGGGUCGCCGUCGUCUCCUCUCGAAAUAACCCGGCCGGCAAACAAAGCCCCUGUUGGAUCAAGCACUUUCGCCAUCUCUGUAGCAUACAGCUUGUUCCCCAUCGUAUAUAGAUGAAGCUCAUAUAGCUUACUAGCCUACACCCAAGAUCAAUAUCCAAGAUCGAACUUAAAUAACCAAAAAAGUGGAAAAAAUAGUUUAAGUGGAAGUACAAGAGAACAUGACGGAAAGGGUAAAAAAAAUACUAAUAAAGAAUUAAUUCACCUUCUCCAGAAAGUUCCAGAUCCCCGGCCUCAACUUGGUCCACAUUCCCAUAUGUUGGAAGCGAAAGAGGUGUCUUUGUGGCUUCUCUCGAUCCUGCUCUUCUUUCUUUCUCAAUAUCUCAUCAUGAGUAGGAUCUACCUCUGAAAACUACAAUGAGGUCAAAUCACAUUAACUAGGUAAGCAUUACCACUCUGGAUAAAGCACAAUCAAGUCAAAGAAAGAGAAAGCGCAGAGAAUAAAAGUAGCACCUUGGCUGAAUUUAGAAGAGUAUGAUCGAGAUCGAGGACAAGACAAAGCUUUCGGGCAGCGAACAUCUUGUUCUGCUCCGCUAUCCUUCUCGCCCUCUCUCUCUGAAUAGCCGCUCUCUGUUGGUCAUCGUAUCCGUCCAACAGAUGGUCGACAUCUCCCCAAGAGUUAGCUGACUGUAAAAUGGCACUCCGAGCAGGUCGGGGAAUACUAUUCUGCAGGACCGUUGGAGAUACAGUAGUUGACUGUGAGCUAGCAACAUUAUUGGCAGUAUUGCUGAGAUUCUUCGUCAAUUGAGGAGUUGAAAUUGGGAGGGGAGCGGAUUGAGGAGGUGCUCCACUGGGUUGAGCUGAAUCUCCGUGCUCUCGGACUACCAAAUGGUCUUUGCUGCUUUGCGGACCAGAUGAGACAGCUUCGUUCAUCUUGGCCUGCUCAGGGCCUGAUGCAUUGCUAUUCUGAGUUGUAGAAUCGUGAAGAAUGCGACGGGGAUCACGAGGUUUCAAACGAACUCUACCCGGAUCAUUCUGAGAAUUCUGAAUGAAUAUGACAAAAAAAUUACAAGUUAGAUUACUAUGAACUAAAAUCUGGAGGUAAAAGAAAUGUAUAAAAUACCCACGCAGGAAAACUAUGAGCUAAUUUUAAAUUUUGUCAACCGCCUUUGAAUGUGUAACAAAUAGUGCAUAUAUAUAGAGAGAGAGAGAGAGAGGGAGAGAGAGAGUUGAGCUCCUAUGCUUUUAAAAGCACAGGAGCAUUUGUGCUUGUGACCUUUUAGUCGUUGGAUCGCCCUAAGAUCAGUGCAGCACCAUUAACUAUGUCUCUCGUUAAGUCCCCUUUACUAGUGCUGCACGGAUCUUGAGGUGAUCCAAUGGCUAAAAAAUCACAAGCAUGUUCAGCUCCUGCGCUUUUAAAAGCAAAGGAGCUCAACUCUCUCUCUCUUUCUCUCUCUCUCUCUCUCUCUCUCUCUCUCUCUCUCUCUAUAUAUAUAUAUAUAUAUAGAAUUGAGCUCCUAUACUUUUAAAAUUACCAAGUCAUUGGUGCUUGUAGGUUUUCGGACCUCAGAUUAAGGAAUGUACAGUUAGGAUGAUAGCAGUCUCCUAAGGUUGAGUAGGUGGUUGGGUAAAUAGUAUGAUCUAAUGGGUGAAAAUAGUCAAAGGAGUAGAUCUAACGGUAGAAAACUUACAAACACCAAGUGCUUGGCACUUUUAAAAGCACCAUAACCGUACUAUAUAUAUAUAUAAAUAUAUAUCAAAUGAAUGGACAUAUAUGAAAAUCCAGGGGGGAAAAAAGCCAUAUUUAUGAUGACUAGAAACCAAUAGCAGCAUAUUCGUCUAUGAUGUUCUUGUACUAUUGUAUGGGCAGUGAAAUUUACCCUAGAUUAUAACUAUUUAAUCAUAUAAACUAUAUUAACAGAUAUAAGGAUCAGGAUCUUUUGGAAUGUUGUCGGUAACCAUAAAAAACAGUAAGCCACAUAAAAAGAAGAACGUAAACCCUAGCAACAAACCCAUGCAUGAAACCUCACCAUUCCAGACGUUUGGGACGUCACUUGAGGUCCUCCACCUGAUAAAACUGUUCCAGGUGUUACGCUGAUACCUGUAUCACUUCUCUUAUCAAAAGCAGAAGCAGCAGCUUUUUGCUGCGCUUCAGCUGAUAAUCUUUUCUGUUCCUUUUGAAGAAAUUGCACGAGCAUUUUUGGAUUAACAGCUAUAUUCUGCGAUCGAGAAGGUACUGAACUACUUGCUACAUCAGGUGUGACUCCGCCAUUUGGACCGCCGAAGUUGGUAUUGUUAUCAUUCAGUGGUUUAUUAAAAUCAACGCCACCAUUUCCUCCCCUUCCAUUGUCAAACUUACUUUGUUCCCUCAAUUGAACUCUAUCAUUAACCCCAUUUCGUAGCCUUUUUGAAGAAUGCUCUUCAGGGAGAGAUUCAUCGACUGCCUUGUUCUUCCGAGAGUUCAUUACCAUCCCACUAAUCCCAUCUUCUGCCUCAGAUUUCAUAAACCUAAGCCUCGGAUCUCUGCUCUUCGCUGCAGCUUUCAAACCCGAGUUUGGUCCUGGUCCUCCUGGACCCACUUGACCAACCGGCUUAAUCGACCCAUUUCGAGUUGUAUUAACCUGUCUUGCUUUCGGAGCAGCCGAGGAACUAGAUACCUCCCCAUUACAAGUAUCCUGUUCAUUGUCAUUAUUCGAAUCAUCCGAUGGAGUAGGGCUAGGGAGCCGAUUAGUUGUAAGAAAGGAAUUUUUUCCGUAUUUCUGCUGAUAGGUCGAAACAGCUUUUACGGCAUCAGUCACAUAUGAAUGCAAUGCAGUAUCUUCAUCCAUUUUCGGUCGACUUGUUGAUUUUGUUGACAAACCUGAAUUACUUCCAACACCGACAGGUUUCGGCAUAGGGAAUGGUGGUGAGUUCGAGUUUGCUCGUGUAGGUGAUGGAAGGCUGCUUUCAUCAUAAUCUGCGUGAAGAUCCAACAAUGGGCUAAUAGCUUUGUUCCUUGACAUGGUUGGUAGUUCUAACCUAGGCAAAGAGACGCUUGGACCAUUGGCAGUAAGAGAAUUCACUCCUCUUUGUGCUGAAGUAGGCUUUUCAGCUCCGCUGGAAAGAGCAUCCGCAAUGCCUCCAUCCGCAGUAGAUAGCUCUUUCACUGUUUUUCCUUCCUCGAAAGCCAGCGAUUUCACAAUUUUAUCUAGCUGUUAAAAAGAACAAAACAGCCGAAGAUUUAUCUCUGAAUACCAUGAAGAAUAUUAGCAUAAGCUUCGGCGAAUUUACCGACCUCAUUUAUUUGCUCGGGUGUUAACAGAGUGGAAUACUGGUUCUUUAUACGAAUCAACAACCUACAACAAAUUCAGUGAAACAAUUUUACAGCCUCUCGACCCAACUUUUAAAACCACUUUUCAAUCCAAAAAGCGUAAGAUUUCAUAAGCCAAGCAUUUAGGUAUAAAAAAUGCUGAAGCUUUUGCUGUAAGAGGUAUCGAGUGAAAUUUUGGGGAGCGGAGCCAAAAGUAGAAACUCCACUUUGAAGCUUCCGCUACGGGGAGAAGCUAUUAGAGGAAAUUUUAAUAAAAAGCUGCUAAUGUCAUCUCAGAAAACGCUACUCAAACAGCAUUUUUGCAAAAGCUCCAGCAGGGGCGAACAGGCCUGCAGUGCAAACCAUUCUCAGCUACAAAACAGAAGAGGUAAUCACAUCACAAUCAAAUGAAGACAAAAGUAAACCUUAAGAACAAAUUCUUAUUCUCCUCCUUUUUUGGCAAGUGGCUCGAACUAAGUACCUGUGUCACAAAAGAAGAUUUUACUAUAAAGACGCUGAAUUUAAUGCAACUAUUAAGCCAAAGCUGUUGUGAAGCGUUCAAAUCAUCUUACAGAAUUAACUGCUUGAAUUCCAGUAAAUGCCCACUGAACAAGAGAAUCCAUAACAGGAAGAGGACCCUCCUCCAUCUCCGAGAACAACGGCUUCAGGCUUUCAAAUGACCUGUGCAGCCGAGAACAAGCACCUUCGAAUGAUCUACCAUAGAAGGAAAACUCACCUCAGCAAUAUGUAAAACACCUUUUGUGCGAUCUUGUUAUGAAGAAAUAUUAAAGAUCAUUGGUUUCUUUAUCUCCAAGAUCACUUUUUUAUGUGAGUAUAGUUCCAGAUUUCAUCAAUUUUCAUUCGAUUAAUGUUCAAUUUCAAUGAUUCGAUACGAAUUUGAAUGUGUUCAUAGUUUUUUGUGUCCUCGAUCUGGGGUUCCAGAAGACUCGGAUUACUUACGCCUCGGCCUCCUCCAUUGUUAUACCAUCCAACUCCUCCAGGAUCAAGCUCACGCGGCUAUCGAAAUCCGCAGGCUUUUCAUGCUCGAUCCCAUCCGAUUCCUUCUCCUCGGGUUCCUUCUUCUCUUCAGGUUUAUCAGAAUCGAGCUCGAUCGGUUGCUCCGCCGCCGGUUCCGACCCCAAUUCGAUCUCCCCUUCCUCCAAUUCCCCUUCCUCCUUCUCCAUCCCGCCACCGGAUUCCUCGCUGCUCACAUCAAUGACCAUGUCGAGACCUUCCGAAUCGGGAUCAGCUUCGGAGCCCACCGGGUUCAGAUCCAAUCCGAGGGGCUUGUUCUGCACGGCCUGCGCCCACGCGAAGUUGUACAGAUGCGCGGCGUAGUUCCUCGGCAUCGUGUACCCCAUCCAAACCCUAGAUCUCGGCCCCUCGGCGGAGUCGCCAUGGGAGACCUCAAACCCCUCCUCCGCCGCCGCCGUCCCCGCGGCGGACGCCACCUCGGAGCGUGGGUGGUCGGUAGCCAUCUUCGCUAGGGUUUCCUCCUCGCUAGGAUUGAGGAAGUACCGAUUGGCCCCGGCGACGCGCAUAACCCGCGCGGAUCCGUCGAUCGCUUCCGCCCCAAGCUAGGGUUUCGCGGCCGGGGCGAUCUAGGGCUCGAUUUUUGGGCCGAGAGAUCGCCGUUCCCGGCGAUGCGGAGCUCGUUGGCAAGGAGACGACGAGGGGAAUCGAUCGGAGGGAGUCUCGAUCGGGGGAGAUCGCGAUCUCUGCGGCGGAGAUCGGAGCGGGAUUGGUACGCGGAGGAGGCGUACGAAGAGCGAUUAGGGUAAAGCGCGGGGGAGAGAGAGAGAGAGAAAAAGAGCACAAAAAAGAAGGGCUCGUGAGGUAUUAAAUACAAAUGAUGAUGACGACGAUGAUCAUCAUGAUGAUGAAGAGGGUGAAUCUGAACCGUACACGUAGCAAACACGACGCCGCGUAAUAUAAAGUGGUUCUCCUAUUCCUAAUAACCGUAUAAGUAUAAUAAUAAUAAGGGAAAACUUCAAAAACCCCCCUGUGGUUUCACAAACUGUGGUUUAAAACGUAUCAAUUUGCCCCAUGUGGUUUCAUUUUUAUCUUUUCGGAAGCUUUUUCGUUAGCAUUUCGUUAAAUUAUAUACAAAAAACUUCAGAUAACCAUCUAUAUUUAUCGAAUAUUCACUUUAGUAUCCUUUAAUUUUAACUUUGUCACUGAUUUAAAAAAAAAAAAUAAUAAAAUUGAUAACAAAAAGAGAAAAACAAAACCACAGGGGGGCAAAUUGAUACGUUUUAAACCACAGGGUACUAAAGUCAGAAAGCACGAAACCACGGGGGGUUUUGAAGUUUUCCCUAAUAAUAAUAAUAAUAAUAAAUUAUACAAAAUUUAUCUGAAAUAUAAAUAAUAUAAUUAGGCUAUUUUUAAUUUUACUAUCAAUUUUUUUAUUUAUUUGAUUUACGGCCAACGAUACUUUAACUAUAAAAUUUAAACUAAUUAUUAUUUUAAUAAAUUUAUAAUUAUAAAAAUUAUAUAAAAUAUAUAAAUUAAAUCUGUAAAGAUAAAUAAUGCAUUCAAAUUUUAAAAUUAAAAUACUGUUGAGGGACUCGACUCAAACAAAUUGAAAUAUUUAAUAGUAAAAUUAAAAUUUUUUAAAGUUAUAUAAUUAAAUCAAAAUGGUCGAUAAUUUAGAUAAAUUUUAUAUGUUUUUACCUAAUAAUAAUAAUAAUGAUACUGAGAUAAUGUUCAUGAGUUUAGAUUUGGACACUAAAAGUUCUCAAUUUUGAAAAAAUUAUAUAUUAUAUCAAAAUUCUUAGUAAUUUUAAAUAGUUUAAUUUAAUUUUAAAUUUGUACCAAUUUUUGGUGAAAAAAUAAGAUAUUCAGCAGAACAUUUUGUAGCAAAUAUGAUCAUGAUUAAUACAUUAAGUAUGUAUUAUGGCAAAAUCAAAUAUGCUCGACAAUAUUAUUUUCCUAUAUCUUAUAAUACCAAAAAAAUAUGAAGAAAAUUAAUGGUAAAAAUAUAUAAAACUUUCCUAAACUAUGAGCAAUUUUAAAUCAACUAUCCAACCUUUCAAAAUUUUAAUUUUAGUACUCAACCGUUUAAUUUAUUUGAUUUGAGCUAGUAAAUAAUAUUUUGACUUUAAAAUUAAUUGAAUGCAUCAUUUAUCUUUACAAAUUUGGUUGAUAUAUUUUAUGCAAUAUUUGCAUUUAUAAAUUUAUUAAAGUAAGUGAUUAGCUUAAAUUUUAAAACUAACUCAAAUUAAACAAAUUAAAAAGUUGGAUAAUAAAAUCAAAAAUUUAGAAAGCUGGAUAGCCCAUUGAAAAUAGCCUAUAUUUAGAUCAGUUUUGUACCUUUUUAACUACACAUUUGGAUACAUAAAAAAAAUUAAAAUUAAAAUUUUGGUUUAACUUCUUUUAAAAAUUUAUAUCUUACAUCAAAAUUCUUACUAAUUUAAAUUUUUAUGACACAAAAAAAGAUAAUAAUCAUUCUAUAGUGAAGUGGUUGUCCACCCAGUAAUUACUUUUAUAAAAUAAUAAUGAUAAUUAAUUAUUGCCAAUAUUUGUUGAUAAGAUUUGAUAUUUUGAUAUUGGAAAAACAAUUUAUAGCAAACAUGUUCAAAUUAUAGCAAGGUACAUUAAAUAUGCUCUAAUAUAUUUUCCUUUCUUAAAUCAUACUUUAAAUAUUAAUAAAAUAAAAGACAUAUUUACAACAUUAGUUUUGAAAAAAAGGAAUUGUUUUCAAACUUCAUUAGUUCAUCACUAUGUUAAAUUUUUGGUUUAAUUUUUUACUCAAAAUUCUAAGGCAAAUUUUACAUAAACAGAGUUGAAAUUUUGCAAAAAAGAAGAGUGGUUUUUGAUUAUCUACUCCUCUUUAAUUAAUUAAGUUCAUAAUAUUAUAAUCAUAUUUACAAAGUUAAUUUAGACAUUAAAACAUCAAAUCUUUUCUCAUUAAUCUCAUUUCAGUGCUUAAAUUUGGCACUUAAAUAUCCAAAUAAUCCUCUUAUCCUUAUUUUUUUUAAAAAGUAAUACCUAUGAGCCUAUUUCAAAGUUAACCUGUUUUAAAAUAAAAUUAAUCUUACCAUGGAUUAAUUUUUUUUUUAUUUUAGUCGCUAACCUUUUGAUUUUAGAAGUGAAUGUGUAGCAUGGAGUUAGGAUUUAAUUGAAAUAUUUUUAUUUUAUUUCUUGGGGAUAAUUUUGAAAAUAAUGAAAAUAUAACUAGGACAUCUGAAAAUCCUGAGCAAAUUUAAUAAGGGUUAAUUUCUCAUUUUCUCUUUUUUUUUUCUUUUUUUUUUGACACUACAAUAGAUUAGAUUAUAUGGACACAUUUUUAGGACACUUUUAUAUAAGUGUCUUAUUUAUGCCAAAACUUUUAAAAAAAAUCUAUUAAGGUUUAAAUAGAAAGUCCACUCCAAUUAAAAACAAAAAGUUCUUCUACUCGGCCAUAUUACAAAUAAAAAAGGAAAAAAAAGCAAAAAAAUUGAUUACCAUCUCCCCCUUCUCCUCCUUCGCCGCUGCAGCCAACGAGGUAUGGUCCCUCCGCCACAGGUCGUUGGAGGAGUGGGUGCCAAAUAUCAAGACGGCCCUAUCUAUGGCGACCCCACAUAUAGCAACACUUUUAAAAAGUGUCGAUAAUUUAGCCAGCAAUACUUUUUUGACCUAUACCGGUAUUUAAAAGUGCCGCUAUACACCAUUUUUAUUGUAGUGUGACAUUUGGCUUUUUAACUUUCGUUUGUAAUAAAGUCGAUUAUUGAAAAAUCAUUAUGAUUUAUUUCUUCUCAAUUUGUAGUGGAAUUUGGAUUUUGAAGGCGUAGACGCGCCUCUUCUACAACCAACUUAAUUUGGAUAGUAAAAAUAAAGAUCAGGAACUUUAUAACAAAAAGUAGAGGUUGCGAAUUAAAUUGAAAAAUUACUAAACUAUCUAAAAUUGGAAAGAAGCAUCAAAUGAUGUGAAACUAAUUGUGAUCUUUUGAAAAGAAGAUGAACCGCACACAUCUUAAUCUCCAUUUUGCAAAAUCAAUCCAAAUUCUACUAAAAGAGAAAAGAACAUAACAAUGUCUACAUUAACUUUUCGCGAAACACAAUUAAAGAAACAAAUCCAAAAAUUCGCAAUCAACAGUAAACUAAUCCUCCCUUUUGAUGAAUCUAAUAACUAAUUAGCUGCUUCAGAUUUCUUCUGAACCAGCUUUUCGAUCAGAUCGGCCGCUUCCUGCACCGUCGUGAUGUUCUGCGAGUUGUCUUCCUCCACGCUGAUCCCGAAUUCCUCCUCCAACCCCAUCACUAUCUCGACCUGCGAUUCGAUGUCGCGAUUUUACGCCAUUAAAUACAUAUUAUUGUGCAUUUUCAUACAUAUAUAGAGAGAGAAAGAGAGAGUUGAACUCAUGUACUUUUAAAAUUAAGUAGAUCCGUGCAGUAUUAUUAACGAUGUGUUCCCUUAAGUCCCCUUUAUUAGUGCUUCACGGAUCUUUAGUCAAUCCGACGGCUAAAAAAUCACAAACACGUUGAGCUCAAGUGCUUUUAAAAGCACAGGAGCUCAAUUCUAUAUAUAUUAGGAAACUUAACGGAACACACUGUUAGUAGUGCUGCACGAAUUUUGAGGUGAUCAGAUGGCUAAAGGGUUACAAGUACAAAAAUUCAUGUGCUUCGAAAAGCACAAAAUCUCAACUAUGUAUAUACACCUAACCUCAAGUAAAUGGAUGUGGUUUAUUUAGUUAGAGAUUAGGUUUCAAAGAAAUAAUAUGGAUAUGUAUAUAUACUUGAGUAGCAUUAUGCUUAUAAAAAGGAAAAUUGAAUGGUCGGAUCUAUUUCUUCUUUAACCUCGUGAUUCGCGAAUUUGUUCGUAAAAAUAGCACGAAUCUUAACAAUGCAAAUUUAUGCAAUAAAGUGGAGUUUGUGCUCCCAAUGAUUUAUUUAUUUUUGCUCAAAAAAUACAACAAAUCUAUCAAAGUUUGAUGUGGCGUCAUGAUUUCGUCGAAACUGAUCUCCGGUGUAGAAAUUCGAAUGCAUCAAAUGCGUGUCAAAGAGAUGGCGAUUCGUGUUCGACGAAAUACCGUGUCGAGAGAAUCGGCGCCGAGGACGGAUAACUUGGACUCGGGAGUGAGCGCGACAUCGUCGGACAACGCCAACUGCUUCUUCACAAUCUCCAUCACUUUUUUCACUGUCUCAGGCUUGGCCUACAAGAAGAAUCAAAGUAAGCACUAAGCAAAGAGUUAAACACAUGAACACACAUUCUAGUUAAUGACUCGUGAACAACAAGUUAAAAGUUAUGCGAAGUCGACGGUGUCGACGAGCGAGCGAAACGAGUUGAGGAAAAAGGAGAAGAAGAGUAUGCACUGCGCAGUAGACGCGAAAGCGCGAUAACCGCAAGGAGGGGAAGGCGGCCUUUGUCGUGCCGAGAGAGAGGAUGGGAGAUGUUCUGCCUGCCUGCGGAAUAGUCGGUAAGAGUAGUGAAGCGCAAAAGAAUUAGAAAACUAAUCUUAAGGAUGGUAAAAUUUCGUACGAGGAAUUCAUUUUAUGUGAAAAUGUUGCUUCAGCAGAGUUGUUCGAAAAAGCACAAAAAAAUUUAGGACUCGUUUGACCUGACUGGACAGUAGUCAGUGGAACAUUGAAUUUCUAUGUUUCUAGUGUGUGAUGAAGCUCUUAAAAUGCCUAAAACAAUAAGCCUAUUUGGUCGAGAAAUUUAGCUUGAAAAUACAAAAGCCAAGCUAGAUAGACUCUUAAUAUCGAAAUUCUCCCGAUUAUUUCUUAGUUGCAGUAAAAACAAAGGCUUCAGACCGAAACUUCUGUUUGCCGUGGUUUAAAAACUUAUUUCAGCUUGUCGUUCUAAUAAAAACAUGAUAGGACCACGGUAGCUAUAUAUAAAAGCAUGCUUUCGUAUUUUGUGCUCCGCUAUCACGUUCAACAAUCGAUUCCUUUAAGCAUAACAUUAUAAUGUAGAAGUAAUAUAUGCAUUAGGAGUUAUAAUUAUAACAUUUUUGGCCCAAAUAAUUCUAAAACCUCUAGUUAAGUUCAUUUACUCCAAAAAAAUUCUAAACUCAUCAUCAAAUUCAUGGUAUCAAUGUAUCAUAAAAGCAAAAUCUCUCAUUAAAAAGAAAAGAAGAACCAAAUAAAGGAAAUAAAAAAAAAGUUCAAAGGCAAAGAGGUAGGUAUAUACCUUGGUGUAGCUCAUUGGUGUGAAGGGUGAGCCCAACCUAAUGGAGGUGGCAGAGACAUUAGCCAUUGCAAUGGAGAGAAAGAGAGAGAGAGAGAGGGAGAGAGAGAGAGAGAUGGGAGGAGAAGAGUGAAGGAGUGUAUGCUCUCUCUCUCUCUCUCUCUAUCUCUCUCUCUCUCUCUCUCUCUCUAGAUGUGAUUGGAUAACAUAAGUUUUAGAUAUCCACCAUGGGGAAAUGAUAUCCACCCACUCACCACCCUUUUAUCUCUCUUUUGGGCCCUACCAUCUACUGGGUUUUUUUUUUUUUAACAAAAAAAAAAAACAUUUGAAAAUAUAGUUUUUAUUUAAUUUUUAAAAGAAAAAGUAGGUUUUUUCCCCUAAAUUUUAUUUUAAAAAAAUAGUAUUUUAGCAUUUUAUAUUUCUUAUUUGGUAAAAAAAAAAAGUAAAAAAAGUGUAUAUUUUAUAGAUUAUUUUUUUGAAAGUAGCUUUUCAUGCUAUUUUGAGAAACCAAAUAUUCUCCGGUACUCGUAAUUCAUUUUCCUUCCUCCUCAAAUUUGAAUUUGUAUACUUGACGGUCUAAAUUUUUAGCAGUAAUUUGUUUUAUUUCUUAUUUUUUAUUAGAUUAUUUUUUCUUAGAAUUAGGAUGAUGUAAUUGAAAAUAUAAGAUAAAUAAAGAUUUGUCAGACUAAGGGGGUACAAACAGGACAGAUCCAAGGGCUGAAGGGCCUCCCCACGUCUCGCCCUAUAUUUUCGGCAAAUCGGGACUGAUUCGGAGCAGAUUGAUUUUUAUUCGAUUUUUUGCCUCCCUACUUACGGCUCCAUUUGUGGCAAUCUGGCGGGUCGAGACGCGAGCAAAUUUUUAAUAAAUUUUUAAUAAAUUUUUAACAGGUCCGGAGCGAAUAAAGUUUAGAAAAUGGUUUCUCAUCUCCCACUCUAAUUUUUAACAGAUUUAGGUGGUUUGGAUUCCUUUUUUUUUUUAUUUUUAAUUCUUGGUUCUCACUUACCAUCUCAUUUGUGACAAAUUAGGACGAGAGCUCUACCACCCUGAAUACAUUUGCACUUCUAUUUAGACUCACAGCAAUAUUUUUAUUUAUUUAUUAAAUUUUUUUUAUUUAACAAAUACUUUUAAUUUUAAUUAACGAUCAACCUAAAACUAGCACAGUUUAUAAUCUAUAAAAAUUAUUUUUUGGAGAAAAAAAAAAUAUAGGUCUAAGUGGUCGAGUUAACUCAACUAGUAAAAUUUCAGAUUUGACUCGAUCAAUCAAAGAGAAAGAAAACUCAGACUCGCCUGAUCUAACCGUUUGGUUCCGGUCGAGUCAAUUUUGUCUUAGACCUAAAACGUGUAAUGCGUCGAAACGACCCACAUUCAUUUGUGCCAAAAUAAAUAUUAAAUCAUGAAAAUUUUAACUCGUCUUGAAAUUAACCUCCCGAACUUUUUUAAAUUAGAUUUACACCCUCUCUAUUUAUUAACCAUUUAAUAUAGCUCCUUUCAUUAGCAAGUUUGAGAAUUCGGUUAGAAUCGAAAUAGACGCGAACGGAAGAUACAUUUUACCUCCUUUGUCACGCGCAUUUUUCAUGGAUAUUUAUUUCGAUUUAAAUAGAAUUCUUAAAAUUGCAUAAGAGAAUAAGCGAAAUUAAUCAAACUAUUAGUAAGAAAAAAAAGAAAAACUUCAAAUACCCCCUGUGGUUUCGUACUUUCUCAUUUUAGUACUCUGUGAUUUAAAGUGUAUCGAGUAAAUACCAUGUGGUUUCGCACUUUCUUACUUUAGUACCCAGUGGUUUAAAGUGUAUCAAGUUAGUACCCAGUGGUUUCGCACUUUUUUUACUUUAGUACCCUAUGGUUUAAUAUUUCGUUAAAUUAUAUACAAAAAACUUUAGAUACCCUAUCUAGGUUUAUCGAAUAUUUAUUUAGUACCCUUUAGUUUUAACUUUAUCACUGAUUUAACAAAAAAAAUAUCCCAAAAUAGAUAAUAAAAAAAAAAAAAGAAACCACAGGGUACUAACUUGAUACAAAAUGAAACCACAGAGUACUAAAGUGAGAAAAUGCGAAACCACAGGGUGCUAACUUGAUACACUUUAAACCACAGGAUUCUAAAGUGAGAAAGCGCGAAACCACAGGGGGGUAUUUGAAGUUUUCCCAAAAAAAAAUAGGCAUAUAUUAAACAAAAAAAAAAAAGUUUAGGGGGCAAUUUCAAAACUAUUUAAAGUUUACGGGGGUGUCUGUACAUUUUAACCUACUGUAAUACGAUAAAUUCUCUUCAUUUUUCCCGCCUUCGUUCCCCAACGCACACGCACACGCACUCGCACUCGCACUCGCACUCGCACCCGGAAAGAAAAAAAAAAAAAAAAAAAAAAUCCAAUCGCCCAAUCCCCAAAUCCGAUCCCUCGAUGAACCUUUUCGCCCAAAUUGGGGAUUUUCCCCACCACAAUCACAUCGAAAGGCGACACCUUUGACGCACAAAUCGCGCCAUGAUUCGAUUUUUCCGACGAUUUCGACGCAAAUCCCCAAUUUUUCCCCCUCCUCCCACCCCAAACCCUCGCGAUUACGCAUCGAACGCCGCUUUGCUGUGGCUGGAGGAGGAGAUCGACGCCCUUCGAUCCCCGAUUUUUGAUUCUUACGCUUAUGCUCGGUCUCUGCAGGGUUGCAUCGCUAAUGGGGAUCGAAUGCGAGGCGGAGGCGUCCAUUGCCACGCUCUGAAGCGUGGUGGGUGCUUGGAUUUGUUUUGCUGGAACAUUCUUCUUAAUAUGUAUGUGAAAUUCGGCGUUUUGGUCGGUGCCUGCAACGUGUUCGAUGAAAUGCCGGAGAGAAACAUGGUCUCUUUUGUGACCCUAAUUCAGGGUCUUGCGGAUUUGGGCGAGUUUGAUGAGGCUGUUGAGCUUUUCCGUAGGCUUCAUAGCGAGGGCCAUGAGCUUAAUAAAUUCGUGUUUACGACUGCUCUAAAGCUAUUCGUGAUUAUGGACUCGCCGGAGCUUGGUCGGCACGUGCACGCUGGUGUUUAUAAGCUCGGUCACGAAAAGAAUGCAUUUGUGGGAUCUUCUUUAAUUGAAACGUAUUCUCUUUGCGGGCUCGUUAACGAAGCGAGACGGGUGUUCGAUGAAAUUAUUUACAAGGAUAUUGUAGCUUGGACGGGGAUGGUGUCUUGCUAUGCGGAGAAUGAUUGGGCCGAGAGCGCAUUGCGCCUUUUCUCAAAAAUGAGGAAAGCCAGAUUGAAUCCUAACAACUUUACGCUUACUAGUGUGCUCAAGGCUUCGGUUUCUUUGUGGUCUUUAAAAUUGGGCAAAAGCAUACAUGGUUGCUCGAUAAAGUGUCAUUACGAGACCGACCCUUAUGUGGGCGGUGCUUUGCUCGAUAUGUAUGCGAAAUGUGGGGAUGUUGAGGAUGCGCGCUUGGUGUUUGAUAUAAUUCCCCAUAAUGAUGUGAUUCUUUGGAGUUUCAUGAUAGCUCGGUAUGCGCAGAGCAAUCAAAAUGAGGAGGCUUUGGAGCUUUUUCUCCGGAUGAUGCGAUCUUCGGUGGUUCCUAAUGAAUUUAGUCUUUCUAGUGUUCUUCAAGCGUGUGCGAAUGUGGUUAGUUUGAAAUUGGGAGUGCAAGUGCACAGCCAUGUGGUGAAGAUCGGUUAUGACUCUGAAAUCUUCGUCGCUAAUGCGCUAAUUGAUGUUUAUGCUAAAUGUGGUGAAAUGGAGGCCUCAUUGGAGAUAUUCUCGCAACUGCCGCACAUCAAUGAAGUGAGUUGGAAUACCGUGAUCGUGGGCUACGUACAAUUAGGAUUGGGCGAAGAUGCUUUGAAGGUCUUUAACCAAAUGCGCAAUGCUGAGGUGGAGGGUACCCAAGUCACGUACUCUAGCACCCUUCGAGCUUGCGCGAGCAUCGCGACCAUCGAGCAAGCCAGCCAGCUCCACGCCUUGAUUGCCAAGACCCCAUUUAAUGACGACACUGUGGUGAGCAACUCUCUCAUAGACACAUAUGCCAAGUCUGGAAGCAUAGCAGAUGCUCGCAAGGUGUUUGAUGUGGUUAAAGAACGAGAUGUGAUUUCUUGGAAUGCUAUGAUCUCAGGAUAUGCUAUACACGGCCUAGCAUCGGACGCUUUGAGCUUGUUCGACGAGAUGUGCAAAACGAGGAUCAAGGCAAAUGAUGUGACCUUCGUUGGUGUGCUUUCCGUGUGCAGCAAUAUAGGUUUGGUUCAACGGGGCUUAUCAUUUUUCAAUUCCAUGAAGUCGGUUCACGGCAUCGAACCAUGUAUGGAGCACUACACUUGCAUGGUUCGGCUUCUAGGUCGUUCUGGUCGUCUCAAUGAUGCAAUGAAGUUCAUCGAAGAGAUCCCAUCGGAACCUACUCCAAUGGUUUGGCGUGCAUUACUUAGUGCUUGUCUCGUUCACAAAAAUGUCGAAAUCGGUAAAUUAUGCGCAGAAAAGGUGCUUGAGAUUGAGCCACAAGAUGAAACCACCUAUGUUUUAUUAUCUAAUAUGUAUGCCACUGCGGGAAUUUGGGAUGAAGUAGCCCUUGUUAGAAAAUCCAUGAGAAGCAAAGGAGUGAAAAAGGAGCCGGGUCUUAGUUGGAUCGAAAUUUUAGGUGAAGUCCAUUGCUUUUCAGUGGGAGAUGAAUCACACCCAGAUAUGCGUUCAAUAAAAGCAAUGCUAGAAUGGUUAAACAUAAGGAUAAACAGAGCGGGCUAUGUCCCUGAUAGCAGCGUGGUGUUACACGAUGUAGGAGAGGACCAAAAGACACGGUUAUUAUGGGUUCAUAGCGAGAGGUUGGCUCUAGCAUUCGGUCUUAUAAGGAUACCGCAUGGAUAUCCUAUCCGGAUAAUGAAGAACUUGCGUUUCUGCUUGGAUUGCCAUGCUGCAUUCAAGAUGGUAUCUAAGGUGGUAAAGCGGGACAUCGUCGUGAGAGACAUCAACCGUUUUCAUCAUUUUGCGGGUGGGAACUGCUCGUGUGGUGAUUAUUGGUGAUACGUAGAUAGCGCGUAUAUAAGAUCUCCUUUACCUACAACAUUAGAAGGUCGCCAAAUUUCUGCAAAAGAGAAUUCUAACCAAAAGAUGUUUCUGCUUGAGAAGUAACAUUUAUUCGGACAUACAGAACUACUAGCCAUAUGUCACCUAAAAGGUAAAGCUUAUGUUGUAGUCAUUUGAUUUGGGUUUUUACAUGUAUAUAUAUUCCUGCAGAAUCAUCUAUCUAAAUAUAUAUGUAUCCUGUGCUAUCUGAAUUUUCUUAUAUACUCCUUAAAAUAGCAGUUUCUUUCAAAAAUACUGUAAAGUUGGGACUUAAUUUCUUCUAUUUUUUUGCUUUUUCUUUUUCUCUUUUUUCGGGUUUGGGGGGUUGUGGGGAAGGUUGGGGCUGGUUUUUUUAUCAUAGGAAGUUCAUUAAAGAGAUGAAUUUGCUUGGCACAUAUGAAAAUUUAGAUUUUGCAGGGAUACAUACUUCUAAAUAUGAAGUUUCUCUUUGGUAUACAUAAAUAUCUCUUUGUUUUUAUCGUGAUCCCUGUAUCUUGCUUUUGAUACACAUAAUUAGAUAUUCGAAUCUUGGAGCAGCAGAAUCAUGCUAAAAUGCUGGAGGACAGGAUGGUCCCAAAGAAACUCCCUCUCAGGACCACAUCUAUGGGACUAUAACUUGGUAAUGUCCUUUAUUCCAGCCUUUAUUUCUUUUUCAUGCACUUUUAAUUUUCUGCACUAUUACAAUGUAAAGGAUAUACUUUGCUACCAUUUUCUAGUUGGAAUUGCUGCAACAAUUAAAAUUCGGCUAAAACCGAGAUGCAUAAUUUAAGUUGAUCAAAAUCCAUACAGUUUCUAUUGCAGAUGCUUAUAAGAAAAUAGCUAGCAGUUCAACUCCACAACCACGUUAGAAUAGGAUCUCAUCUGUAAUGCAUUAAACAUUUAAACUGUAUGGCUUUAGCCGUCAUGGUUACUAAAAUCUGAUUUAACUAGAGAUAUUAUCAGGUACCUGAUAGGAAUACAAGAGGAGAGGGGACAAAGUGAUGGAUGAUAAAGAGGUUGCAUGCACAAUUCUUUUCAAGGAAGAAAUACUGUUUGUCAUAUUUUCUUUUUGGUAAAAACAUAUAGAACUUACAUGAACUAUGAAUCAUUUUGAUUUGGCCAUCCAGCCUUUCAAAAUUUUGAUGUUACUAUCCAAUCUUUGAAUUUAUUUGAUUUGAGUCGGUCAACGAUAAUUUGAUUUCAAAAUUUGAAUGCAUCGUUAAUCUUUACAUGUUUAGUUACUGUACUUUAUGUAAUUCUCGCAACUAUAAAUUCAUUAGAGUAAGUAAUUAGCUUAAUUUUUGAUGUCAAAGGACCGUUGACCAACUCAAAUCAAACAAAUUAAAAGGUUGGGUAGUAAAAUCAAAUUUUUGACAAGUUGGAUAGCUCAUUCAAAAUGGUCCAUAGUACAAGUAUGGUUUGUAUGCUUUUACCUUUCCUUUUACUGGCCUGUUGCUAGUCUCUUAAAAGGAUAUAUAAUUGAUUCCAAAGUGAUCAUGAUGACUCCCAAUAUUUUUUAGUUGUUGAAUAAACCGGAGUAUUAACUUUUUUCAUGAAAUAUAUUUAGCUAGAAUUAACUUUUUUAAUGAAGCCUUUCUUAGCCUGAUUUGAAUUUAACUUCAAUCUGAGCAACUCUAAAAUCCAUACUGUCUAGGGCUGAAAAAGAAAUUCAUGAUUUCAGUUGACUACAUAAAAUGCCGCAUCGAAAAUGCAGAGAACAAUGGAAUGUACAUGAGUUGCUGCUUAAAUCGCAAGGACUAAUGUACAAGAUUGUGUAAGUAUACACAUUUCUUUGAAUAUCAUUCAAGUUAUAAUCCAAAAAAUUGGUUCCUAAGCUGAAUUCUUUAAAAUUAAUUUCCUGAACCAAUUAGCUAGUCCAUGGCUAUGGAGCAUUCUACUUUGGAACCCCCUCAGAAAACUUAAUUGUGUUAUAUUACAUCAGGUCAAACCUCAUAUUCUAUCUCCUAAUGGUUGUAUAUUGGUAAUUUUUUCUUGGUGUUUUUUUGACGAUACAAUUGUCUUCACAUUGCCAUAGUAAUAUGAGUUACUUCCAAAUAUUGUGGAAGUAUCCACGCCCGUCUUUGAUGACAAUUAAAGUCCAACUCCUGUUUUAGUACACUUAGUUUAGCAAGUACCAAGGACCUAAACUAUUAUUUUUGGAAACUCUUUUUUACUAAUCGAUAUAUAGAAGUCUUAAUGGGUAUCUAAUUUACUUGAGAUAUUCAUUUUAUUUUUCAUUAGCUUCAUGACUAUUACGAGUCGUAUGCACCUUUUUGUGGAUUAAACUCUAAUAGAUUUCUUGAUAUGUUGUCAAUUUGGAUUACCUAGUUACUUGGAAAUAGGACCAAACAUACAUGACUUUCUACGUCACCCUAAAGUUUUACAAAAGUUGGCAAGUCUAUCUCUGCGUCCUUUGUGUGACUUUUAACAUAUAAAACAUUCUUUUACCUACCAUAUUCUUAGUAAGCCAACUUGUUUUUCUUACGCUUAAAGCAUAUGUUUUCAAAAUAACCUCAAAUUAGACAUUGAACUUUUCACGGUAGACUUGCCUUCAAAGUCUUUGUUUUUUUGUCUGUUAAUUUAAUGUCAUGCUUGUGUCAAAUGUUUGCUAGAAUGUCUUCUUCAUAGGAAGAGAAUCAAUGCUGAGGUUGCAAUAGUAAUUGUUUUAGGUAACUAAAUUGACUUGGCUGUUUCAUUCAGGUUUGUUAUCACUAUCGCCAGUGGUUUGUGAUUGACAUAACCUGCUACUGGUAAAAGCAGAUUUCUACUCAAGGAGCAGAAGAAAAGUGCUUCGCAAACAAAGCUCGAGCAGAGAAGGUUCAAUUCGAAGCUUCUACAUCUAGAUUUGUCUGGAAGUUAUUGAGAGGACUUUAAAGAAAGCUUCUAGAAUUCUUUGAAUAACUCUGCUCAAAUGGCACUUUAGCAAACAAGGCCUAGGUGCAUAUACUGUCUCGAUAAUUGACGAAUAUACAUACUCUAUAAUAACCUCACCAUAUUCCUUUUUUAUGUCAUAGGUAAUUGGGAGAAAAGAGCUCGGGAGCGGCAUCGAACUUAAAUUUUCAUCCGAGGAAUGUAUGGUGUAUGGAUUGGAAUUCAGAUCGACAGAGAGAGGAAAAGCAGGCAAAAUUGCAACAAUAACCUCUCUAAUUGUCGCAGCCGCCGACCCUGCAUAUUACUGUGCCUCAAAAUCAGUCCAAAAAUUCUAGGAUUAUUGUCAAAUUCAAGCAAGAUAACUUCAUGAGAAUGAUGUAAACACGAAAUUGACCUAGGAGUUCGAAGUAUUAACCGUGUUUACCUGAGUGAUCAGCAUGCACUUCAUCUUAUUUUUCAUCUGUAGUUCCUCGGAAUUGUGACAGUGAAAGCUAUAUUGCAGUGUUACUUCAAACUUACUGAUGAAUGAAUCAUUACUUGCCAUAGCAUAAUUUAUCCUUUUAUUUCUGAAGUUUUAAUCUAUUUGAGUAUGUAUAUAUGUGUGUUAUACUGUAAAUUUACUGUUGUUAAAUGAUGUAAUAUUUACUCACUCCUACCAAAAAUUGGGGAAAGCUCUGUUAAAACUUGAGCUUUAAUUGUCUCAAAUUUGAACUAAUGGAGCCCAAAAUAUUUGAGUUGGGCUUGAUGAUCAACUUGGGCUCGAAUAGCAAUUACUAUAGGCGCAUAUAUAAUAGCAUUAUACAAAUCCAACCAUCUAUAUCUUAUAUAUAUGAAUAAAAGUAUUCUUACCAAUUUUACUAACAGCUGUAGAUACGUCAUGGUAUAUAUAUAUGCAUGUAAUUAAUUGAUACCUUUUGAAGUCCGCGACAUAUAAAUUUAUAAAUUUCUUUGGUUAAGUUCAUUGGGUUGAGUCAAAGAGACUUGGUAUACUCCAAUGUGUUUGUAAUAGAAUGAAUUGAAACAACUUGGGAGCUUAAUUUGAGAAUUUUUAGAUCAUUUAAUGGAGAGUAAAGCAACCUCCCCACAAUCAAGUGGACCAUCUCAUAUUUGCUUCUACAUUUCCAAGCAACUUAGUGCUUUGUAUGGUCUAACAUUUAACUUUCCUUGAUGUGCUAUUCGAGCAGUGUUACUUGAAGAAACAUUAAUAAUUUUUUCAAACUAUAUGCUUUUAAUAUCUUAUUAUUGUGACAUAAAAACUUUAAGUAAUAGUACAUACUACACGGCAAAACUUUUAUUAAACAACACUACACAAGCUUAUCUCUUGUUCCAAAGAGGUUGUAAAAGCCAGAAGUUUAUUUUAGCUUUCAAUUCAUUCUAAAAUUCUAGCUAAGUUUCUGUUCUUCAAACACCUAUCUGUUGUUCUAAAAUUUUGUAUGUUUAUUGUUAAAUAUAUACGUACCCAUCUGCUGCUAUUUCGAAACAUAUCUAUUAUUUUAAAUUUUCCGUUUUUAUUUGUCAAACAUGAUAUUCCAUAUCUCUCUCUCUCUCUAAAAAUAAAAAGAAAUAUUAAAAAUGGUGACUUGUUUCUUAGGUUAUAAAAUGUCCUUAGGACCAUAAUGAAAUGGCUUUAGUGGAAGGGGAUGGACACCUUUUUUGGGGGCAUGUUGGCAUGGCUUCUGACUAGUGGGCGGUGACGAAGGUGGUAGGAAGAAAGAAAAAAAUGUCAUCAUUUCACCAUUUUAUUUAUUUAUUUCCAAAAUAAAAAACUAUAAAAAAAAUACAAAAAAAGAAAACCCUAGAGAGAACAUUCACAUAUAUUAUAUACUAUUUAAAUGAAAAGGUAAACCCCCUCCUCUCUCUCUCUCUCUCUCUCUCUCUCUCUCUCUCUCUCUCUCUCUCCUAGGGAUAGGGUUUCACUUUCUCCACCUCACACUUUUGCAUUGUUUUGCAUUGCAUGUGUGAUGUGUCCAACCCUAAUAAGGUCUCAAAUUUAAAUGAGAUAAUAGUAAUUGGCUUGUGAUAAUUUAAAAAUGAAAAAGGUUUCUCACGUCCAUACUCCCCCCACACCCCCCCCCCCCCCCCCCAUAUUUAUAUUAUAACAUGCAUUCCCAUGAAAAAAUACAUUGGCUACAUGCAUGUCAGUACUUAUAUAUUCAUACAUGUCAGCUAUUGUACUAUGCUUGUCUCUUUAUAUUUGUUGAACCAUAUAUAUAUAUAUUAUAUAUGAUAUAGAGUCCGAUUGCUGUACUAUCGGUAGCACGGAGGCUUUCGUGCUACCAAGUUGUUUUCGAUAAUGCGGCUUCCAAAUCGACGAUUGGCUCCGUUAGACUUGAUCUACACUAUUGAAAGUAUUUGGAAACUAAAUUUCAGAAUUUUUCAGCAUCAUUUGGCUAGUGAUCAAAAGGUCUCAAAAUUGACAAUUUUAAUGGUAGAUGUGAUGCAUUUAUAAAUUUAACAGUGUAAAACCAUUCAAAUCAGAUAAAAUUUUUAUAGAAAAUUCUUUUUACUAUUUAGAGUAAGAUCAGAACUUCUGAUCUUAAAUUCAAGUCUUGAUCUGCUUUUAAAUUCAAGUCUUCUAUCAUCAUUUUUCAUUAAAUUUUUAUUUUCAGCCGUUCAUUUUAGACUAUGCGUUUGAUAGGUAAAUGAUACCGAAAAAUUAUGAAAUUUAGUUUCCAAAUACUUUCAAUAGUGUAGAUCAAGUCUAACGGAGCCGAUCGUCGAUUUGGAAGCCGCAUCAUCGAAAACAACUUGGUAGCAUGGAGGCCUCCGUGCUACCGAUAGUAUAUAUAUAUAUAUAUAUAUAUAUAUAUAUAUAUAUAUACACACACCCACACAUUGAUAGCUGAAUAAAUAAAUAAGAACAUAAAUGAGUUAACUUUUGAGUCCAUUUAUUCCCCCCAAAUGUUCCAUGCUUUGUCUCUCUCUUUUCCCAUGCUACAACUCAUGCAACCAUCAUGCACUAAAUUAACUUCAUCAUGGCUAAACCAAAUUAUACUUAGGGUGUACUACUCUAUGCUUAUGUACUUUUAAAAGAGAGAAAGCAUCUAUCCCCAAGGUUAAUUGCAAGGGUUUAGCCAUCUACACGACUUGUAACCAUCGAUCGUACCAUAUCGUGUCGACGAGAUAUUACCAUAAUACAACUCCCAUACCCGCGACGCGUACGGUUCAAAUCCUCUUCUCUUCAAACUUAGCAAGAAUAUUUACAGUAAUAAAGUUCAAAAAAAUUGAACUAGAUAAUAAUAAGUACUUAUAAUAUAUUUUUAUUAAAGAAAAUUUUUUCAUAUCAUAUAUCAAUACAUAGAUUUUUUUUUUUGAACGUUACAUAUCAGUAAAAUUGCAAGACAUAAUAUGUAUCGUAUCGUACUGUGCUAAUAAGUGCUCGACAUGAUUUCAUGCCACGAUCCUUAAAUAUAUUCUUGGUUAAUUGAAAUUUAUGUAUGUAAACAAAUUUGCACAUAUUAAAUUAAGUAUUCUAUAACAGUUUACUUAAUUAUAUAUGCUGAUGUGAUAGGUACUUAUUAGCUCUUUUUGGUUCUUAUAGUUAACAUUCCACACAUGAAUUGCACCAUACAUUAAUUAUACCGUGUUAAUAAGCAUCUAUAUAUAUAACGUGUAUGCACAUCUUUUGAGUUAUACUCUUUUUACGUACGUAACUAGGGUUUUGUGUACUAUAACUUAUACCAGAGAGAGAGAGAGAGAGAGAGAGAGAGAGAGAGAGAGAGAGAGAGAGAGAGCAUCAAUUCUAAUUAAAGGGGUUAUAUAUCAGUGAAUCACUUUUAAUUAAUUGUAUAUGUUUAUUAUUAAUUAUUUGCACUGAGAAGUAUGGUACGUACAAUUAAUUAACCCAAUAUGCCGGCUAUACUUAUACAUGAGACAACUUAAUUAAUAAUAAAUAAAUCCUAAUUUAGAUUAUAACAAGAUCUAUAUUUUUAAUGAGGUUAUUAAGCAAUNCUCUCUCUCUCUCUCUCUAUAUAUAUAUAUAUAUAUAUAUAUAUAUAUAUAUAUAUUUAUAUAUAUUUCUCAUGUUUAAUAAAAUGAUAUCAAGUUAAAGAACCACACACUUUAACGAAUAAUCAUAUUAAUUAUUAAUUUUACUCUCACUCUAAACGAGUAUACCAACAUAAAAUAGUACACUAGCUUUAAACAGUUUCUCUAUUUUGUAAAAGUUAUAGCUUAUAAUUAAGUAUACUUAAUGAAAAGAAAAAAAAAAUCUAGUAACAUUACUUUGUUUGGGAAGUUAAAAUAAACUCAUCAUAAUUUGUUUUGGUCAAAGUAAAAGUUCUAAUUUAAAAUUUCUUAUGUGUAUCCGAAAUAUAAACCGUUAUAUGCAAUAUAUCUAUAACGUCUAAAUACUUUAUGCAUGAAUUUGAUGAUCGAGUUCUAUUAAUGGUUCAUGCAUGCAUGAAUCUAUUUUUCAUUUUCUUAUUUUUAGUCUAAAAGCUGAUAUAUAUUUAAGCUGCAUUUGGCUGAAAUCUUAUAAGUUCUUUCAUUUUCUUCUUCAGAAAAAAAAAAGAAAAAAAAAUCAUAUUACUUGUUUCAAAUUCUCAACACUUCAAAAAGAUGAACAAAUAUUUAAACUUCGAAAAAAAAAGUGUAGUGGUGUUGAGAAUUUGAUUGUAAUUUAAGUUUCUCACCAUAAAGAGCAGGUUUUGUCUGAGUUUACUACCUACGAUAAAAAGCGUGCUAACGAACUAUAUAUAUGUAUAUCUCACUUUAGGUUUACAUUAUAUUAUUAUGCCUAUCUUAAACCCGUCACCCAGGCGUCGUGCCAAAUUUACUGGCCCAAAAUAUUUAAACUUAAUUAUUAAAUACAGUUUAUCAAUUUAGACUUAUAUAUGUAUCUGAUAGUAACUAUUUGAUGUGAGAUUAUUUCUCAAUGCAAAACCUAUAUAUAAUCCAAAUAUUUGAAAAUUUUAUUUAAAUGAGAUGUACCAUUAGAUUAAAAUCUUAUACAUAAUGAGCUCAAUGGACCAUUCUUCUCACAGAAAACUGUUCCCUGAGCCGGGUCCUGUGGACCAGCCCAUGAAAAGGGCUUUUCCUAAUAUAUAUAUAUAUAUAUAUAUAUAUUAAUCGUAAAAAUAAUUUUUGGCGUGAGAAAAUUUCAUUUUUAAAUGGAAAUAAGUGAAAGUAUAGAUAAUUUUAUUAUUAUUAUUAUUAUUAUUUUUAAAAAAGAUGAUUCCAUGUGACGUGGAAGGUGAGGCUUGCGAGUGACGUGGCGCACCCGGUCCAGGGAAAAUGGUCGUCAGGGUGGCGUACGUUUAGGCGCGCACAUUCCCGACAAAGAUGGGGCCCAGUAGGGCCCACAACCAGAGCACGCGUGCGGCUACCACACGAGGUUGCAUGGGUGGUGGGCCCCACGUUUUUUUAUAUGGGCCACGUAGGGCCCACCAAACAAAAUAGUAAAAAUAAAAAAAUAAAAUAAAAACUCACGUAGAGAAACCAUAUUUUAUAUAUAUGGAGGUAAAAAUAUAUAGAGACCCCUCCUACUUAUUUUAUAUAGGUAAAAAUAUAUAGUAUAGACGAAUUUGAAUCAGCUAUCCAAUAUUUUAAAAUUUUAAUUUUACUGAGUCAACAGUAUUUUGACUUUAAAAUUUAAGCUGAUUACUUAUUUUAAUAAAUUAUAGCUACGAAAUUUGCAUGAAAUAUGCUGAUUAAAUUAAUUUGUGAAGAUAAACAACGCAUUCAAAAUUUAUAGUCAAAAUAUCAUGACCGACUCAAAUCAAAUAAAUUGAAAAGUUAGAUAGUAAAUUCAAAAUUUUAAAAUAUUAGGUCACAAUUUAGAUAAAGUUAAUUUGGUAUGUUUU